UCUCUCUCUCUCUCUCUCUCUCACACACACACACACCUGGAAUACAAGAGCACUAAAUACAGCACGGCAAAUAAAUAUCAGCACCAAAUCCCAAAAAGAUCAUGGUCAUCAUCAUAAUCAUCAUCCUCAUCGUUUCCCCCAAUCAGCGCAUGAAACUAAAAUUAUUUCUCCAUUAACUGCAUCAUAUAGGCCAAAAUAGUGGAGCUAGCAAUUAAGAGCAAGGAGAGCAAGAAGGAAGAGAGAUAGUUGCUGGUCUGGACGCCAUGGACUUGGUACCAACCCCGGAGAGCCCCCACUCCGACCACAGCGGCGGUGCCAACGCGAGCCCCCAUGCCUCCUCCUCAUCGGGCCACACCGGCGCUACCUCGUCGUCGCCAUCGCCAUCGCCAUCGCCAUCGCCAUCGCCAUCGCCGAGCCGGUACGAGUCCCAGAAGCGGCGAGACUGGAACACCUUCGGGCAGUACCUGAAGAACCACCGCCCGCCGCUGACCCUGUCACGGUGCAGCGGCGCCCACGUGCUGGAGUUCCUCCGCUAUCUGGACCAGUUUGGGAAAACCAAAGUCCACACUCAGAUGUGCCCCUUCUUCGGCCACCCCAACCCCCCGGCGCCUUGCUCCUGCCCGCUCCGCCAGGCCUGGGGCAGCCUCGAUGCCCUUAUCGGCCGCCUCCGCGCCGCCUACGAGGAGAACGGCGGCCGCCCAGAGUCCAACCCCUUCGGCGCCCGCGCCGUCCGCCUCUACCUCCGCGAGGUCCGCGAGCUCCAGGCCAAGGCCCGCGGCAUCAGCUAUGAGAAGAAGAAGCGCAAGAAGCCCAUCCAGGAGCAGCAGCAGCACCAACCCCGCCACCUCCGUCCGCUUCCUGAAUACGUGAUCCCUUGUCAUUGGGCGAUGAUCAUGCUCCUUCCAAGAACCACCACCAACACCACCACCUCCUGAGAUGGGGAACUCUCUCUCUCUCUCUCUUCCCCGCCGCCUCCCCCCCCUCUCACUCUCUCCCAUCUAUGCAUGCAUUAGAUCCUUCUCUCUUCGAUUCGGUAGGUGAGACCCAAGCAUAAUUUAUAUGGUGUGAGCUUCUCUUUUAGGCUGCUAUUAGUUUAUGUUGCUUUUUUCCUGUGUGCUGAUUGAACCUCUCUGGACAACUUUCCUUCAGUUGCUUCUUUCUCUCUCUCUCUAGAUAUUAUAUAUUUAGUCUAUGGCUAUUAUGUUGCUACCGGAUGUUGCUGUGGCUUUAUACUCUUGUUGUGACAGGAACUGGGAGUCAGUGAGCAGUAUGAGCAAUAUUUAGUGUGUUCCUAAUAUUGGUAAGGUAGGAAAAGGAAAGAAUGUGGGUACUGUACGUCGAACUGGGAGUUCAUUUCCAAGAGACUGUGUACUUGAGAUCUCUUGUUAUGGAUCUGUCCAUGAUGUGCCAAUUCACUCUUUUGAACUUUUCUUUUUUUCCUUUUUAUGGUAUUAAAAGUGGAGUGGUGAUGAUGACUUUCUCUAAGAUCAUAUGUGAGCCCCCUUAUUGGUUCUCUUCCCACAAGUUUCAUCAUAUGGCAACUGAGAGUAGGUGCUUCAGUUCCACUAUCCGUUGUUCGGUAACCAUCUCGUCCCUUCUUUUUUCUUUUUUACUUUUCUAUGAAUCUAAUGCUAUUGUUUGUAGGUCUAAGCCAUGAAUAGUUUUUUCUGAAUGAAAUGUCACGAAAUGGUUGUUACGAUUUAUAUUCAUUCGUGGGUUUCCAUCGCUUCCUAUGGAGAGAAAAAGACCGACCCUUCAGAGAGAUGUGAACAAAAAGUCAUCAAAUAACAAGUAGAAUUUUGAUGUUUGACCCUUUGGUCAGCAAUUCUAUCUACCAAAUUUACCAUGAUAAAGUAUAUCAAAUUCAUUUUAAGCCACAAAAUCACUUAAAUAUAUUACAAAACUAACAUUUGUUUUGGCUGAUCAAUAGCUUCCAUGGUGUAAGACAAAAAGGUGCAUUAUUUAUUCUAAGAAUGGUAGUAUACGGGAAUUAGAAGAGAUUUUAAUAUUUUGGAUAAAUGCAUGUUGGUCGGUGGCUUAUAUUUUAAUGCUGAAGGAUUAGUGGACUGAAGGUACUAUUCCCAUGGGACAUCAGAGAACCUUGAAUUUCAUAAUCAAUCUAGCCGACAACCCUUCUUUGUGGUUAUACAAUAUGUUGGUGUGGUUGGGUAGUGAAGAUAUCUCUUUCUAGAGAAAUCACAUUCUUUGGUUUCCUACUGUUAUUGGUCUUCUGGAUAUUACAAUGCUUCUUUCUUCUUUCGCUCAUAUAUGCAUUGAAGUAUCUCUUUACCCAUGCAUGCGUGUGUUUGUGUGUGUGAAGGCAGGUAUGUACUUCUGAGCUCUUUUUGUAUUUGUUCUUAAAUUUAGAAUUCUUCCCGUCAAUUUAGGAUCCUUCCCGGCAAUUUUAAAUUAACAAAAUCUUCUCUAGUGAGUAACUUAGAGAACUUACUGAGGAAUAUUUUUCUAUUCUAACGUCACAACUUAAAUAGAGACCGAUUUAUGAAACUUGAUGUUGUCUCCUCAUUCUGCAUCUUAUAUAUAAAUAUGUGUGUGUGUACUUUUGGACCAGAUUUUCUAUGUUUUUAUGAAGUUUGUAUGUCAUGUUUUAAGAGGAGAUUUAUUGAUAUAACAGUUAUAGUGUCAUAGAAAUUUUAUUGCAUGGAUGAUGUUGCCAUGAUCGGUGUCUAAAUGAUUAGUAAAACUUGCUAAGGACCUAAAAAAUUUCAUAAUGUAAAGUUGUGGGCCAAUAAAUGAUGCUCUAAAGAAAGCUAGAUUGAAGUUUGAAAAUUGAGCAUACUAUUUGAGAGACAAAGUAAUUAGAAAUAUGCUUUGUCUUGGCUCAUGAAAUUAGUUACAUGCCAUGAUUAGCCAGCCACGAAGAAUUUGUGUUUCUCCUUUUUCUUUCAUUAAUGAUCCAAAUAGACACGACACACGAACUUUGGCACGAAAACAUGAAACCUAUUUUAUAGAAUAAAGUUUAUUUAAUAUCAUGUUCUCAGUUACCUAAUUGUCAUUCUCCUACUUGCUGUUACCAUGACUCUAAAUGUCUUCUACUUCAUAUAGCACUUCUUGUCAUUUGUUUACAUCCUUAACAUUCAUAAUGAUUUUCAGAAAAUAAAAGUCAUCUCACAGUAAAUCUUUGGGGAACUUACUAUUUCCUUAUUGAUGCACCAAUGGCCCUGUACCUAGAAGCUCCAAUGCUUACUCUCUUCAUCCAACUAAAGUACACACCAAAUCCUUUCCUUGAGAAUGGCUUUAUUAAAUUCAUAAGACUAGUGAUUAUCAUGCUGGAAAUGUGUGAAGUGUUUGAUGUUAUUUUUAAAGGAAUCUUAGACAAUUUUUUUCUUGUCGGUUUCACGGAAAAUUUCUAUAGACAAAUUAAUGUGCUUUAUCAACUAAAAGCAAGACAGUGUUCCUUAGGGACUUUUUCAUUGUUAAGGCUACAAGAUUUGGUUAGGUUCAAGUUGGGUCUAGAGACAACACAACAUGGAUUUGAGGUUCCUCUUCUUGUAAACAUUUUUUUUCUUUAAUAAAGCCAGGGUGGCAUUCUUUGCCUCCCUUUUCUAUCAGGAAACAAAAAACAAAGGAAAAGAAAAACAUGGAUUUCAGGUUUAAGAUUUAGACCCACAUCCAAUCCAUUCACUUGAUAGGUUGCAUCAGGUUAGACUACUCUCUUGGUUGAAACUAAAGUGGGUCCAAGUAUCAUUUCUGUUGUUCUAGAAUUCCUAUGAAAAGGUCAUAAGCAUUUGAGAGAAUAAAUCGAGACUAAUAAGCCUGUGUAACAACUGGUGAGAUCAUAAAACAGUGGAAAAGAUGAUGAACUCAAUCCGAUACUUGUCAUACAAGACAAUACGAAUCAACUCAUGAUGGAUUUGCCUAAUAUUUGGGUUAAUUGGUUAAUUUUCUCCUAGAGUUGUUUUUCAAUCUUGCUAUAUUCUUAUGGAGAGUUCAGAGUUAAUUUCUAGACAAGGAAGCCUUUUAAUCAAGACAAUCAGAUGACAAGAAGGGUCGGUGCAUAAAUUUAGAUUAUCAUCAAAUCCAUGAAAGAACAUUAAAGUUUGUUUGACUUUCUGGAAUCCUUAAGGGAGCAUGCAAGAAAUGAAAGUUGAACGACAUUGCUAAUUCCAUGAAAAGCUUGACCCACAGAGUGCUAUAAAAUCCUACAUCGACUAUGAACUCAAGGAUGUAUUUGUAGCAAAUGAACUGGUUUAAUCCAACAAAAAAUGAUAUAGUUGGGUGAAAUGGAAUAGCUCAAGUAAAGAAUCAUGGUAUGUUGGAGAAUGUAGUCAUAAGUCACCAGUCGUAUUUUUUAUAAUCUAUGUAGACAUGUUUUGACAACUUGGUUAUUUUCUGAGGAUAUAUCUUCAUGCCUCCCUUUAUGGUUUCGAGGGAAAUUAACUUGAUCCUGAUCAAUUUAAGUGCUUUAUCCUCUAGUAGGAAAUGGUGGUGUCCCUGCACCAAAAUAGGACUCACGGCACAUUUAAUUUUGUGAUGUCUGCAACAAUCAUCAGAAGAUUAUUUUUUAAUUUGUUGCUAUGUUUAUCAGUAAGCGACAGUGGCUCAAGUGAUAUUUCUGCUAAGACUUGGAGAUGCAUCCCUUAAAGUCGAUGGCGACAUUAUCAUAUGAGGCAAUUUCUGUCGUAGUGUUUUUGGUAUAUCAGGGUAAGUUGUGUAAGGGAUUACGUGUGGCCAACUGCUUUCAAAAGAAUACAGGUCUUUCAUAGUCCUGUGGACAUUUAUAACCUCUGAUAGAUAUAGAACUGAGUGAUGUUUAUGAUACUCACCAGUCGCUGGGGUUGACAAACAACGGGAUAAACCUUCAUGUAUGAUCCCCUAUUUGAUUGGUCUAGGGGCGCGCGAGCGCGCGCACACACACUCACCCUUUGUGACGCAAGAUAAUAAUAAUAAUAAUAAUAAUAAAGAUAAUUUCCGAUUUUAAAUAAAAUAUUUGAUUUAUUUGUGGAGAUCUAUAUAUGAUUGGUUUAAAGUCAGAAAGAUAUAACAGAAGCAUAUCUUCUUGUUAAAGUAAAAGUUCAACAUUAGAACACAGCAGAUGUAGGAAGAUCAGAAAAGAAAGAUGACAGACAUUGAAGAAAAAGGAAGAAUGUAUUGACAGAUUUUAAAAGAAGUAGUCAAUUAUCUUCUUGUCAAGGCACGUAAGCAUAUAUAUAUAUAUAUAUGUUGUCUCGUAAGUUAUUUUUUUCUGAUGAAUAUCUAAUUAGUUACCUACUGAUUUGUUCUCCAGUUUCCUUAAAAUAGGCAGGGAUUAACGGUGCAUAAGUGGUUUGGAUGAUAAACGUCUUUUAGUUGUAUCUUGAUAUAUAAUACCUUCUCCAGAGCAUAAUCUCGGUGGUCACUACAUCCUCUUAUAUCUUUUUACCAUUCGUAUUCAAAUAUAAUAACUCCUCCAAGUGAUAUGUGGUACGGAUGAGAUCAAUGCAUCUUGGUAGUUAUGAUGAUUGUUUUUUUUGCAAAUAAAUAGUAGGGAUGCCGCCACCUGAGUUCAAACCUGAAAUGUCUACCUAGCACAUGCACUGAAUAGAGGUGCUGUGCUCUCUUACAGUAUCCAUUCGAGAUAAGAUUUUUUGUGUGGGGUGUUGCGCGGGGGGAUCACACAUAAAAGGAAUGAUCAUUAAUUGCUCAGCACAGUCAUUAACCUAUCUAUGAUAAACUUUAAUUCUUUUCUAGUCAUCUCCUCUAUUACGUUGCAUUCUAUCACUUCCUGUCUCACAUAUAUUUAUAGUCUUCACAUAUGUAACUUUCCUUUUAGUGUGGGACAAGAUGUGUCGCAUUUGUUGUUAGUGUCUACUGGCAGUUAAUCAAAGACAAUUUUUUUUUUUUUGAGGGAAAUCGAAGACAAUUUGAUGAAUGUGGUUGUGUCCUUCUUACUGUGGGUUAUGUUUCGCUGAUAAGAGCAUAUCAUUCCCUUCUGUUGCAUGCUUGCAAUGAAUACCACUUCUGUCAGAAUUUCUAUAUACAGCCUUUAGAAUUCAAUCUUACCUUACAUAUUUAGGUCUGGAUUUUUAAUCUGCAUUAUUAGUUCCCAUCAAGGUUCAAUUACUAUGAAUAUGGAAAAAUUUGCUUCAUGUUUAUGUGAUAGAAACAUAAAAGAGUAUUGCAUUGGUCAUUUCCCCUAUGAAAUGAAACAAUGAGAACUGCCCCAUCUUUCUUCAGAAAAAAAAGAAUGUUGCAUUAGGCAGAGAGUGUUAGCACUGAAUAAAGGAUUAAUUUUUCAAACACUAUAUUGGGUGUUGAAGACACAUGAUGGCAGCUUAUUGGACUGUCUUUUAUAUGGUUUAACAAAUUGCUGUGAUUCGUGUACAUGAUGUGGUUACAUUUUAUAGGAUUCCAAUCUCAUGAUGUGAUGACAUAAAUGUGAGGACCUGUACCUAAAUAUAGUUAGUCCCAUUCGCUGGAAAGAUAUUGGAUACUCAUAUAGGGUCAAGGAACAUAAAUAAUAUCUUCUGACUAAUUGAUUAUUCGUGGUAAAGAUCUUUAGUAUUUAUAUAGGGUCAAAAAAUCUAAAUAAUAGUUUCUGGCUAGUUUUUUUGGAUAAGAUCUUAGGUUACUGCAAAUGGUAUCAGAGUCAAUCUGGUCUUUAGCUUAUGUGGAUUAAGGGAUACUAUAAUAUAGAUUCAUUGGGACUGAUCACAAAUCGAUCGUGAUGUUUAUGAAUUGAUUUGGACCCUUAGUCUAAUGAGAAUGCAGGCUUAAACAAGAGGAGUAUGUUAGAAUUUGUGCAAGUGUGUAUUCAAUCCAAUAUCAUUAUCGGAAUAUUUUUGGUAUUUAUAUAGAGCAAAUGAAUCCAAAUAAUAUCUUUUGGUCAGUUUUUUUAAAUGAGGCCUUAGAUUGUUAUAACAAAGAAUUGUAUUGUUUGGGGGGUUUUGUGAAGGUAUUUGAACUUAAAUUCAAAAACUUGCUUUUCUCCUCAAAUAAGAAGGAGAAUAAGAUUCUACUACCACAUAUAAAUGAUUAAAAUUAUAAAUUUAUAUCAAACUAAUGGAACAAAUUCCUUAGAAGUUGGAAUCAAUACAAAUUUUUGCAGUACCUGCUGCCCCAAGUACAACAUUAAUUACCUCAACAAGAGAUUGCCAAUGCAAAAUAAUAAAGAAACAUAAUUCGUUAAGGAGAAGAGUCACUAGAUGAAAUUGUGUGCGCGCCAUGUAUGUGUGUAUUUUAUAGCAUAUCUCUUGAAAAUGAGGCUACUUUUUUGUCUUUCGAAACUCCAGCAACACUUCAUAUAGAAAACCCAUCUCACCUCUGAUUUUCUGGACUGCAAGGUCCUGCAAACAUUUCCUUGACUCUGUUGGCUACGACAAAUCACUUGAUUCCAAUCUUGUCGUAAUUGACUUGACUUCUCCAUCCAAAUCGCAUAGUCUACCAAUCAUCCAAUUUAUCAGAGACUAAUUUGGAAGUAAUGCCCUCUAGCAUUAGGGAGGACCACCCAAUGAAAGAAGAAAACCUUAGUCUUUUGAAAAUAUGAUGGGUUUCCAACAAGAGAAACUUGCUACGUAGCAAAUCCAAGUCUCGCUGGCGUCAAGAAGAGAGCCCUAAAUUCAGUCCUACGGGUCUAAAAGCCGCUACUUGCGGAUUCAAAGCGAGCUGAUAAGUAGGAGAUAAAUUUUAAUAAAGUAGUUUAAUUAUUAAUUUUUCAGUGUGGGCAAAUUUGACAGUCCCAAAGAUCUCAUCUUUAUAGAUUAUAAAUUGAAGAACAUGAAAUUCUUGAUAUGCAAAUGAUUCUUGCCUUUUCCUCUGUAUGAAAUCAUUUUAUCAAUGCAACGGUGGCGACUGUGUGCCACCUUCUUGACACAAAAGAGUCUUUUCUUUAAUUUCCAUAGCCAUCAGAUAAUGAUACGUAACAAGCAUCAUGAGUAGUAAUUUUCAUGCGUCACCGGUGUCCUUGUCAUUUCCAUUGUUUCAAGUUGUGCCAUACUAGCUCGCAAACGGCAUGCCGCAUGCAUUAAAGAAGCACUUCAGUACUGUAAACUCGAAGAUUUACCACAUGACCUUCGAGGAUGUUUCUGUCUUCUCUUCAAUGGCUCUAAGAUAGGAGAAUGAAAGCUUUGGAAUGCCGCUAAAAGAAAGAUAAUUAUAAAUUAUAUUCGAGUACUGGAUCCUCUAGUUACGUCUUACUAGUACCGUCCAGUUCUCAUCCCCUCACAUCGACGCAUGAUGCGUAUUGGAGUCAACACUGCCAUGAUUUAGCUAGGUACAUGGAUCUACCAAACCAAGGUUCUGGUUUAGUGCAGCUAGCAUGUCACGUCCGAUAUGGAUCGGUGCCAAAACGUUAGUCCGCAAAAUCACAUUGGUCAUGUUGGUUCGCUUAGGAGUUGGAAUAUCAACAACAAAUUGACUCCAGAUGGUAACUGAAUUCCUUGCCUAAUUAACUGAAUCUCACCCUCCCCACCCCCCCCCCCCCACAAACCCACCGACCUUUUUUUUUUUUGUAUUAUUUUAUGAAAAGUCAGGAAGCACCUUAGCCAUUCACCAAUUUAGAGUAUUUAAGAUAUUUUAUUCUUGAUUGUCAACAGAUUAAUUACUAGCUUCCUUAUUUUUAAUUAUUUUUUGAUAAAAAAUAUUUUAUUAUUUUCUAUUCUGAAUUGAUCAUGAUGAUCCAUCUUUCCGACGGUGCAUUAGUGGACACUAGCAGUAGAGAUGUGGUACUAGAUGGCACAAUAUGAUGCGGUGUUGGUGGAAUGGCAAAUGUACAUGGCAACAAAGGCGGUGGCCCUUCUAUGUAUCAUUAUUGAUGGGGUUUAUGACGCAAAUCAAGAUGAGAGUGCAUGAGAGGGUAUGAGUGAGGAGAUGUUGGAGGAUUGGAUGAGGGCGAGCAUUCCCAUCAAGGGUUGCCUCCUCGUAUUUAUCGACUAUAGGGAUGGGUGGGUGAAAGUGUAUAUAAAGUCGGGAGUGAUGCGUAAUGAAGAAUGGAGAUGCAUGGCAAAGGAUAGCAAAGGGGCAAGGUGCGGCCAAAGCUGAAGCAACCAUAUGCCAUGAGUAGGGCAAAAGAGGAAUCUAUGUGGUGGGAGUGGAUUGGAGGUCGAGAUGGAGAUGGUGGUGGCAAAGGAGGUGGGGGGCAAGGAUGAUUGAGGGUGGGGGGAGUGGGAUGUAAGCCCUCUAGUAGUUGGCCAUGGGGGGUGAUGAGUUUUCCAUGCCCAAGAUCAUUUGCAAAAUAUGAGGAGAUCAUUGCCUCCUUGGCCUUUGUAGUCUACGAGAAGUUCGCUUUCGACAUCCUACACUCCACUCGCCUCACACCAAAUCUAUAUAGAACAUCAUCCUCUUUGGCAUUCACUCCAACCCCUCUUUCCUCGAUCUCAACAUCCCCAUUGCUACCCUAUCCGUUCUCUCCACCAUGCACUCUUUGUCCAUGAUGUCCACAAUUAAUGAGAUUAUUGCUUAGCUUGGACUCCCCCUUCCACUCCUUUCAAUUUGCUCUAACCAAUAUCCUUACUUGUGAUGGCCACGUCCUCCCCUACCAUGCCUCCCUUGCCAUCCUAUUGCUCUGAUGCCGCCACCUUCACCUCUCUCACCCAUCUCUUCGAGGUGUUCAAGUUUAAGUGUGUAUCUUACCUUGCCAGCAACAACCUCAUUGGUAAUGCAUUAGGGCUAAGGAAGGAAAAGAGAGGAAAAAGGGCAUCCAAAAUGCUCAUGAACUUCAAAAUAUUUAUCACUAGCCAUCAUUUUUUUAUUUUAAAAUAUCUUUGAAUUUUGAAAUAUUUACCGCACCAAUCAUGUAUAUGAUCGGCUUCAAUCAUUUGCCAAUGGAUAAAUUAAUAUUGUCCAAGUUGAAUUGGAUGGUCUAAAAAAGCUAUUGGUAAAAGAAUGUAAAAGCCUUCUAGAGCAUCGUAACAAAAGUUUUUUUUCUUUCUUUCUUUUUUUUUUCCAGGAAGAAGUUUGCUCAUUGGAGAAGGGACCAAAUGAAAAACUUAUGUUUCAUUUCUUUGCUAGUUUUGUCCGGAUACAGAAGAUCAUGGAUUAUUUUCAAUGAAGAAUUCUUCAAAUUACAAGUCCAUGAAUUAUUUUAUCCAAUCAUUCAGAGAAUCCGCUCUCUAAACUAAACAUGAUGCUGCAUCUAAUUAAAUGAUCAUAGAAGUACAAUUGUGAGUAUCCCAGUUAAUAGAAAGACAUGUAGUUUCAGUUUUUUGACUUAUAUAUAAAGUUUCUAGAUCAAAGCUGAAUGCUAGCCAACAAAUUUGGUGGUCUAAUUUUGUGCCAAGCCCCAUUCUUUCUCGGAACUGCAUCGAUCACUAAUGCAACAUAUAUCAGCCACUGUAAGUGAUCGAGUUAGGAGGUAGAUAUAAGAUAAGUCUCCUCAACUUCUAGUAGACCAUUCGUCCAUCCAUGAGCCUGACCCUCAAAUAGAAUAAGACUUUAUAGUCACUAUUAUUGGUUUUAGAUAUAAACAAGAGAGUACAUUCCGGAAAAGAUACAUCCUGCCAGAGCUUUUGAAGGGUAGUUUAGACUGGACUCAGCCGGGGAAAGAGAUAUGCCACUCUAACACCAUCUGGAAGAGAAGUCAAGAACUAUAUAUAUAUAUAUAUAUAUAUAUAUAUAUAUAUAUAUAUAGUAGUAAUACNNNNNNNNNNNNNNNNNNNNNNNNNNNNNNNNNNNNNNNNNNNNNNNNNNNNNNNNNNNNNNNNNNNNNNNNNNNNNNNNNNNNNNNNNNNNNNNNNNNNNNNNNNNNNNNNNNNNNNNNNNNNNNNNNNNNNNNNNNNNNNNNNNNNNNNNNNNNNNNNNNNNNNNNNNNNNNNNNNNNNNNNNNNNNNNNNNNNNNNNNNNNNNNNNNNNNNNNNNNNNNNNNNNNNNNNNNNNNNNNNNNNNNNNNNNNNNNNNNNNNNNNNNNNNNNNNNNNNNNNNNNNNNNNNNNNNNNNNNNNNNNNNNNNNNNNNNNNNNNNNNNNNNNNNNNNNNNNNNNNNNNNNNNNNNNNNNNNNNNNNNNNNNNNNNNNNNNNNNNNNNNNNNNNNNNNNNNNNNNNNNNNNNNNNNNNNNNNNNNNNNNNNNNNNNNNNNNNNNNNNNNNNNNNNNNNNNNNNNNNNNNNNNNNNNNNNNNNNNNNNNNNNNNNNNNNNNNNNNNNNNNNNNNNNNNNNNNNNNNNNNNNNNNNNNNNNNNNNNNNNNNNNNNNNNNNNNNNNNNNNNNNNNNNNNNNNNNNNNNNNNNNNNNNNNNNNNNNNNNNNNNNNNNNNNNNNNNNNNNNNNNNNNNNNNNNNNNNNNNNNNNNNNNNNNNNNNNNNNNNNNNNNNNNNNNNNNNNNNNNNNNNNNNNNNNNNNNNNNNNNNNNNNNNNNNNNNNNNNNNNNNNNNNNNNNNNNNNNNNNNNNNNNNNNNNNNNNNNNNNNNNNNNNNNNNNNNNNNNNNNNNNNNNNNNNNNNNNNNNNNNNNNNNNNNNNNNNNNNNNNNNNNNNNNNNNNNNNNNNNNNNNNNNNNNNNNNNNNNNNNNNNNNNNNNNNNNNNNNNNNNNNNNNNNNNNNNNNNNNNNNNNNNNNNNNNNNNNNNNNNNNNNNNNNNNNNNNNNNNNNNNNNNNNNNNNNNNNNNNNNNNNNNNNNNNNNNNNNNNNNNNNNNNNNNNNNNNNNNNNNNNNNNNNNNNNNNNNNNNNNNNNNNNNNNNNNNNNNNNNNNNNNNNNNNNNNNNNNNNNNNNNNNNNNNNNNNNNNNNNNNNNNNNNNNNNNNNNNNNNNNNNNNNNNNNNNNNNNNNNNNNNNNNNNNNNNNNNNNNNNNNNNNNNNNNNNNNNNNNNNNNNNNNNNNNNNNNNNNNNNNNNNNNNNNNNNNNNNNNNNNNNNNNNNNNNNNNNNNNNNNNNNNNNNNNNNNNNNNNNNNNNNNNNNNNNNNNNNNNNNNNNNNNNNNNNNNNNNNNNNNNNNNNNNNNNNNNNNNNNNNNNNNNNNNNNNNNNNNNNNNNNNNNNNNNNNNNNNNNNNNNNNNNNNNNNNNNNNNNNNNNNNNNNNNNNNNNNNNNNNNNNNNNNNNNNNNNNNNNNNNNNNNNNNNNNNNNNNNNNNNNNNNNNNNNNNNNNNNNNNNNNNNNNNNNNNNNNNNNNNNNNNNNNNNNNNNNNNNNNNNNNNNNNNNNNNNNNNNNNNNNNNNNNNNNNNNNNNNNNNNNNNNNNNNNNNNNNNNNNNNNNNNNNNNNNNNNNNNNNNNNNNNNNNNNNNNNNNNNNNNNNNNNNNNNNNNNNNNNNNNNNNNNNNNNNNNNNNNNNNNNNNNNNNNNNNNNNNNNNNNNNNNNNNNNNNNNNNNNNNNNNNNNNNNNNNNNNNNNNNNNNNNNNNNNNNNNNNNNNNNNNNNNNNNNNNNNNNNNNNNNNNNNNNNNNNNNNNNNNNNNNNNNNNNNNNNNNNNNNNNNNNNNNNNNNNNNNNNNNNNNNNNNNNNNNNNNNNNNNNNNNNNNNNNNNNNNNNNNNNNNNNNNNNNNNNNNNNNNNNNNNNNNNNNNNNNNNNNNNNNNNNNNNNNNNNNNNNNNNNNNNNNNNNNNNNNNNNNNNNNNNNNNNNNNNNNNNNNNNNNNNNNNNNNNNNNNNNNNNNGUUGUGAAGACUAUUAACUAUUGAAUUUUUUUUUACAAAAAAAAAAAGAUUUGAAUGAAACUCUAACUAUAGGAAUUAGUACGAAUACACACCAACGGCAAAAGCCAUCAUAUUGUAAUAAAAAUUGCCACUAAUAUUUUUAUAAAAAUAAAAUUUACAAAAUCUCUUGCGUGUGCUCCUCAAUACAUUGAUUACGAUGAGCCAGACCUUCAAAUAACCUUGCUUCCUGGAAGCCUGCAUGGUUCGUUUAUUUCUACCAUAUUUCUUUUUUUUAUUUUUUAUUUUUUAUUUAUUUUGUAACAAUGAAAGUUAAGGGAUCCUGUGAAACAUUAAAAAAGAUUUGAUAAAUAAUGCGCCUCUGAACGGAUUCAUAAUCUUCGAGGUUAGGAUUUUCUAACUCUUUUACUCUAAAAAGAUUGGAUACUUUUUUUUAAUUUUUUUUAUACGUUAUUUCACGACUGAAUAUUAAAGAAAAUGUUGGUAAAUGGACUUCGUUUUUUCUUAGCUUCUUUGCAUCUACAUUUUUCUGGUUCUCCCCACUUCCGGGACCCGUUCCAUCUUUGGGGGCCAUCCUGGUUUUGACCUUUCCGUACGAUGCCUUCUUAAUUAUACUAUUUAUGUCAAUGUCUCCAUUUUAUAAUGAAAAAUAAUGAGAUGGUACCCUUGGUGGUAGACUCCACCACUUCGGACCGCAUUGUCUGGUCAUCCGUACAACAAGUCCUAUCAGCGCACUUGAGCUUGCCCAUGCUGAGGCAUAUGACCACUUUAAAUUUGAUGAUGGUCCGAGAUAAGCGUUAAAAUUUAAAACAAUGGCACCAAAUUUCUUUCAGGAAUUUUGCACCGUAUAUUAUAAAUCUAUUUUCUUGUCCGCCUGCAACACCAGCUAGCUAGAUCACAUGACCAGCGAAGAAAAGGUUUAUAAAAGUGACAAAGAUAGUUGAAACAACACUUUAUAAUUUGUUUAUGAUGAUUAAAAUAAUAAUAUCAUUUUAUGAUUAUGAUUAGCUCAGGAUGAAAAUGAAAAAAAAAAAAUCAUUUAAAAAUUAUUAUUAUUAUUUAUAAUUAUUAAUAAUUAUUAUGAAAUAUAUUUGAUUGAAAAAAAUUAAAACCUCCAAUGAAGAUGGACUGAAUAGCUUCUAUUCCACUCAUUUAUUUAGAAGAAGCCUGACUCUUAUUUAGAUUUUUUUUAAAAAAAAUAAAAAUUAUCAUAUUUUUUUAAAUUCAAUCACUAUUUUUUUUAAUAUUUAAAUUUUAUUUUGAUUUUGAAUAAAAUAUUUUAAAAUAUAUGACCGUUCUAAUUUUUAUGUGAUUCUGAUGGUAAAUCCAAUGCAUAUUUAAUGAUAAAAAUUAUUUUGUAAAUAAAUUAAGAGAACUAAAGUCAUUAUUUAUGCGAUCCAAACAACAAUUCACUGGAGAGGUUACUUGGGCGUGCCAACGUUACUGUAAUAUUAAUUUGAACGCAUGUUUCUGAUAUAAACUCCACAUGAGGGGAAACAUGGCCUGCUAUCAUCCUAUCUGACUAUGAUUUUCCAGAGACUGCUACUUUAUGCUGGUGCCCCCCUUUGAUUCGUCUUGAUCUUAAAUGGGUUUUAAUAAAACUGGGAGCAUCUAUCAAUGACGGAGGCAUGACGAGUGAAUUUAUAUAAUAGAACAGAACAUUAAUCAUUACCCAGACUGAUUAGACCCACUUUUCUGUUUAUAACUAAAAACAUGAUGGGAUUAUAUUAAUAGCAAAAUGAUCAAUUCAUAUCUCUCAAUAUUAAAAAUCAUCAUAAAUUAUUUUUAUUUUUUUGAUACAAAUGAAUGAUCGUAUUAUUCCGAUGAAAACGAAAAUUAAUUUUCAAACACAAUCCAUUGACUUAAAAUAGUUCUCAAACCCAAUGAUAGUAAAAAAAAAAUCACUACAAGGAUAGCUAUAAAUUAAUUAAAAUUUAAAUAACUAGUCUAAAUUAUAUAGCAUCUUCAUGCAAGUAGUUCGUCAGGACUCAAUAGCCAAGGCACAGGAGGCUCGACCGAUAACCUAUGGCAUUGAGUCAGGAUUGAUUCAAGCUCUUCAAAGAAAUAGCAAUUAUAUUUAUCAUACAAGGAUUUUUUAACAUAUUUUUCAACCCCCGUAAAUCCUUUGAAUAUUUUGUGAGUUUUAGCAGGAAAAACAAAUAAAUAGUCUCUUUGCAUUACAGAUGGUAUCUUUUCACGUAACUGGUUCUAAAUAUGAUGAGAUUGGACCAUCUUGGGCUCUUGAAUAUUGUGGAUAGGACAGUCGAUAUCUCAUCCUAUCCUAAUCUAUUUCCCGACUCGUCCCAUCCUCAUACCAACAGUGGUGAAUCAUACCAUCGUCCCAUUAAUAUUUAAAAUAUUAUUGCGUAUUGUCCACAAUGAUUAUGAUAAACGAGACAAUUGUCAAUUUAUAUUCUCUUGGUACAACCUUCUUUUCUUUCCACAAUUUAUUUAAGAGCUAUAAAUAAAAAAUCAAAAUGUAUAAAACUUCUUACACACAACCUCGAGAAUGAGAUUUAUAACUAUAACUAGGUUGAUAGGGUAAACAUAUCAUUCAAGCCUCACACCAGCCAUAUAUUCAAGCUGUUAAACUAUACAUGAAAAAAAAAAUCAUAAUAUUCACCAGGAAAGCAAAGUUGAAGAAAUAAAAUCCGAAUCAGCAAGAUCAAUUCAUAAUUUAUAAGUAUGGCAUGUCAGUUAGUUAAGAUCCCUCGAUUAUCUAAACCAUGUAAUAGCCAACAUGCAAUUGCUCAAAAUGAAGUGCAUCCGAAGGAAGAUAUGUUUAUCUGUACAUAUUUUUUAGCUUGACCAAUGGAUGGUCUGGAACCAUCUUAGUCAUUUAUAGUUGGAACCGUUGGUGAAUUUAAUUAGACAACAUGCCAUGAACCUCACAAAAUCAUUAACAAAACAUGAACACCAAUAGGAACAGAAUAAUUUGGAGAAGUUAAAGUUAAGGGCCUCUGAAAUAGACAAGGCGGCUGGAUCAUUACUUAUACUGAAUUGUAGUUACAUCAAAUGUUUGAGAAAGAUGAACGACAAAUUCUUGCACCUUUUGUUGAGUGCAUCUAUGAAAUCAGAAAGAAUAACAGUAAGUUGAUUACUCAGCCUCAUUUUGCAAUACCAUCAGUUGAUAAUUCUUGAACAGCUUGCUGGAAGGGGGAAGACACAGUUUUAAGUAUCAAAGUCGUGUUGGAAAUCAUCAACUUGAAGUGUGAGAGCAUAAUAGAAUAGAUCGGUUGUGGGAUUACCUGAACACAUGCCAAUGCAUAGUGGAUGUCACUCUCUGAAAUUUGGUAAUGGACUACAAACCUGACACUGAAAGAAAUGAAAAUCAAUGUAAUAAGUAACAAUAUCUCAAAAUUUAUAUGCAUCGUCAAAUGCUUUUACUUAUUUAUUAAUACUAGUCAUUUGGGCAUAAGACUAAGAGUAGACUGUCAUCUAUUAAGAGAAUGCAAGAAGAAAUAACAAUUAUAAUAUCAACCAAGCAACACAAUAGUGAAUGUCACUCUCCGAAAUUUAGUAAUGGACAGCAUGCCUAACACUGAAAGAAAUGAAAACCCAUGUCAGAAGUAAUAAUAUUUCAGAAUUUAUAUGCAUUGCUGCAUCUUUUUACUUAUCAGAAUCAGUCAUUUGGGCUUAAGACUAGAAGAGUUGACUGUCAUAUAUUAAGAGCAUGCUAUGAGGAAUAAUGAUUAUAAUAUCAACCAAGCAACACACAAGCAAACCUACAGAAAUGGUAAUCAAAAUUUUCAUAACAAAUCUAUUCCAAUUUCGGAAGGCCAAUAGAUUUGUUACCCUGAGUGAUAUCAUCAGAAAAAAAGAAUGAGCUAUAUUGGGUCCAUUAUAGCAUGUAUGGUGGAAAAAAAUAUUUGCUGCAAAGCUUACUAAAAUCCAUGAUUAAAAUUUUGAACAAAAAGAUCAAUAGGGAGGAUGGCUGUGCAUUUUGAGGUAUCAUACUAAAACAAUAGCUAGCAGUUCUCACAUUUUUUUUAUGGGUUUCAACAUAACUAAUCAUUUUCCAAGUUUCAUUGCAAAGCUAGAAAAUCAAAUACUGACACAUAGUGACUUGACAAAUGAACCUAAAGUAUGUGUUUUCUAAUAUCAAAUAUCAUGUUCAGGGUUCUGAACACAGAACUGCACCAUGUCAUUCAUCACAAAUGCAUCAUACUGAGGUAACUAUAAGCUCUAAAAUUUUCAUAAAUCAUGAUUCCUAGGUAAAUAAUCAACCGAAGGACUAGGAUUAUUUAUAUCGCAAAACAUAGAUGUCGCCUGUAUGAAAUUAAUAUAAUUUUUUUUCUAGAUGUACAAAAUCUUUGAGUUCUCCAAUAUUUCUAGGGUUGCCACAAAUUUAACUUGCAAAAAUAGGAACUAUUGAUACAGAAAAGUCAAUGCUCAUGCCUACAUGAGGAAGAAGCAAGUAAAGAAUUAACCUUUGAUAAGUGUUUAAUAUAGAUACAGCCAUGACUUUUGCAUGAGAGAAGUUGAUGUUCACAUUUCCCAGAGGAAACCGCAAGAAAAGCAGCCAUGAGUUUUGCAUGAGAACUAAGUUGUUAGACACUGGUUUACUUGUCCUUAAAACAUUGGAUAUAUGCCCUAAAAGCAAUUUAACUACAAUUAAAUAAUGAGAAAUAUAAUCUAUUCGUUCUGGUUAUGUGAAUUUACUUUUAUUGAUAUGCCAUAUUUCAUGUAGUUUGGCAUAUAAAGUUCAUUGGCCAUCUUUUGGAAAUGACAACUUCAGCUUUGAGCUGUCUACUAGAGACAUGAUCUCAUGAUUUCUUACUUGAAACAUUUCCAAGAGAUCCACACCCCCCUCUCACACACCUGCUCUGUGUUCAUGUAAAUAAGUGGCCAAGUAAAUUAACAUCCAGCAGUUCAAGCCUCCUAGUUAGUGAAUUAAAUAUAGGUGCAGAAAAUAAUUUAAUGACAGCAGGAAGAAUGGAAAUAUGCAGUAUAAGUAACACCCUCAUCUUAAGCCCUGCCUUAAAAACCUAAGUAUAUUAUCAUGCCAAAGACAACUUGGUUAUGAAAAUACUCUCUUUCAUCUCUUUGGAAGCAACACCGAGAUUUUCCUUCUAUUUUGAUCAAUUAUUUUGUUCAGUGUUUCAGAUAUGCUUCUAGUUUCUACAUGGACUCAAAAGAGUUCUUUAAUCAUAGAACCUAAUUUCUUCAUUUAUUAAUGUUGAUUUCCAAAUUUCACCAUUACUUUGGUUGUCAAGCAACCAGAAACCCAAAGAAUUUAAUAACCAGAUCAUUAAUUCAUUAUUUCUUCCUCAAACUAAGCCCCAAACUUUCAAUCCGUCAAGUAUCUUCCUAAAUUUCAACCUAAAGAUUUUAGCGAAUGAAGUCAAACAAAUCGGUCCAAUGCCUAGUCCUGUGUCAACUAUGGUCCGCAUAGGAUGCUUCAGCAGGAAGUUGGGAACAGUUGCCCUGAUCCAACCAGGUUGUACAACCAGAAAAAUACCAAGGAAUGAAUACAUUAAAGACAACUGCUAUUGUAAUAUAAUUGAAUAUGAAUGCAGAAAUUUAAGAAUCAAAGAAAUUCUAAUGCUGUUUAACCAGACUGCUUAUGAAAAUCUUUCAGUUCUGUAAGGAGCAGAAAGUAACAAAACAGAACAACUUGAAGGCACGAGCUCAGGAUUGCACCUUGUGGAGCUUGCUGGCAUUGCAAGUACACCAUGCUCUUCCAGGACUUGACAGAGCCUUUCAGGUGUUAUAAGCGAACUCUCUACAAUAUCAAAAAACACCUAUCCACAAAGAAGACAAAAUGGAAUAAUUAAAUUUUCCCAAUUCUCAAAUGUCUUCCACAGAAAAUCUGCUAGUAUGUUGCACAAUGAUUUCAUAAAAUAUAACUAUCAGCAAUAUGCUACCAUAUUGGUCUCCACUGAGGAUGUAUCAACAGUUAGUUCUUUGAUUUGUCUCAAUCCAUCUGAAAAAAAAAAUUCAGAAUGACAGGACAAAAGAGUAAAUGCUUCUGAACAAUUGAACAGUAUCUAAAAUGUAAAGUUCCUUAUUGUGAAGAUAAGCUACUAAAAACAACAAAAUAAUUAAUUUGAAUAUACACGUUGAAUGGGAAAAAACCUUUCACUGAACAGACUAAACAUAUGAACAAAGCCAGCAGAAAGUUAAACAAUGAAAAUAUAUUUAUAACCUGCAAACAUUUUGGCCUUUUUGUGAUCAUCCUCAAGCUUUCCCACAUUAUCUCGCAAAGCAACAUAAGCAGCUGCACAAAGGACUCCAACCUGCCUCAUCCCACCACCUAAGGUUUUCCUAAGCCUUUUAGCCUGAAAUAAGUGAAUUUCUGGAUUCAUAAGAAUUCUGUGGAGACAUAUAUCAGUAACUAUAUAUCUAUGCCAAUACCUUAGUAAUAAACUCUCUUGAGCCUACAAUGACAGAUCCAACUGGAGCACCCAAUCCUUUUGACAUGCAUACCUGAAUUGUCCAUUGCACAAGAAAUAAAGAAUCAGCCAGUUUCACAGCCAAAGUUCUGAAACGCAACACAUAAGAGAAGAAAGUUCAUUCUUCAUAAAUCGAGAGAAGAUAUACCCACAAUGAACAAUUAAACAAACAUUAAUAAAGAAUAAUAGGAGAAACACAACUCAUCAUACCGAAACUGAGUCAGCAGCUUCCACCAGCCUAUGAACAGGAACCCCCAGUGCCUAGCAUAUUAAAUGGGUAUAGUUAGAUAUCCAAAUUGUAUAAUUGUAUAAAGGCACACAAGCAUAGGAAUUAAAAAAACAAUGUUGUGUACAAGUUCAUAUCUUGUUUCUCAAACAUACCAAAAUUUAUGGAUAGAUACAGAUCAAACUGAUUAUGAUCACACAUACAUUACAUAAGUAAAGAGAAGUCAUAGACCAUAAUAAAAAAUGUGAAUCCUUCAUAUACUGAAGAUUAGAGCUCUGCUAUCAUAUCUAUGACACUAAGAAAGAAAAAAAAAACUUAACAUGUCCAUAAUCUAUGAAACUCAUCUAGUUUCUGUUUUCUUUUUUUGUUUUUUUUGGUUGUGGGGAGGGGGGGUGGUGGUGGGUGGUGAAAUAUCUAGAGCUAAGCCCUUUAGCCACCAUCAUUUUUUUUCCUUGGAAACCACAAGACAAACUUUUGGGAAAUAAGGAAUAGAUGCAAGAAAAUAAAGGUAUUGGACAGCAAACCUAAACUACAUCCACAGUGAACAGAAACCUACAGUUCAGAUUUAAAAAAAGAAAAAUAAUCAACUUUAUAUUUAAAGGUAUCAAAUACUUACAAUCGAAGCAUUAAAGAUGCGUGCUCCAUCAAUAUGAAGCUUUAAACCAUGCUUUUUAGCGAUCUGUCCUACCCUGUCUGUAUAUUCUGAUGAAAUGCAUCUUCCCCCACAACUGCAGUGGCAAUUAGGAAGCUAUUAAAUAAUAUCAACCCGCAGAAACCAUGCUAGCAGUAAUUUUAAUAUAACUUGCAAACUGGGCAGUAGACAAUCACACCCCUCCUAUGUUUGGAGGAGGUUCCAGCUUCAAAACUUGGGAGGUGUUUCAAAAUAUAAAAGAUGAGUUUAGCUAUCCUAGACCCAAAACAGUGCAUAAGACAGUUAAAGGGAAUGGCUGACGUUUCAUUUGAGGGGGGAAAAAAAAAAAAGAGCAGACUAUGGCAUGUGCGCUAAAGGGCAACAGCUUCCAUUUCAUCAAAAUUAUUCUUGUUUGCCUUUACAUUACUCAUCAGUCAUAAGUCAAAACUAAAAAUAGGCUAAACAACUGAUAACCACCUAACAACAGAUGCAUGAAGUAUUAUUCUGUUCUUAUAUCCUACAAAAGCUACCUGCAAGUCCUCAAGAUAACUAAUAGCUAACAGAUAUGUAACAUGCAAUAUCAUUUACUAAAUAUGUUUUCCCUUUAUUUACAAAUUGAAAGGAUUGUUGAAAGAAAGAUAACAUGCACCUGUGCACAAGCUGACACAAAAAUGAGAAUUUUCUAUGGCAAAUCAAUUAAAAUACAUGAAAAUUGUGGGCAAAAUUAGGAUGCUCCAGUAAAUAUUUGGUAUGACAAGAAAAUAUACUGUCAAAACUAAGAAGAUUGUCUAAGGAGAUGGCAUUGGCUUGUGCACCAAAGAUCUUAGAAGGCCCUGGUAAGAAGUGUGAGUUGAGUGAGAUGAGUUUGUGUCAAAUUUUGCAAAAGAAAUGCUCAUAAUUUGUUGGCAAGGAAUAAGAAAACUGAAGCUCAGGUACGUAUGACACACACACACACACACACUAACGAAAUAACAUCCUUCAAGUCGACAAGAUUAAUUGAUCUGAUUCAUGGGAAUUGCUAUGAACAAAUUCAUUCAUAUUAAACCAUUUUAACGCUUGUUUCUGCAACUGCAGGUGCCAAUCAUGUAUUAAUUUGGACAGAAAUUUUUGGAAAUGGACUUGGAAAAGCUGAGAGCAAUAAAAAAUAUAGCUGCCGAUAGAAAGGAACAAGAAUAAGUUAUUGAAAAAGUCGAACAUAUAUGAGUGGACUCAAGCUUGAUUGUAAUGAUUGUUGUUAACAAAACACAAAAGAUAUAGCAUGAUAUCAAAAGAUGCCAUCCAACUAGAGGAUCCAUCAUCAAAAGGGGCAAUAAAAGAGGUGCAGAUUCCUACUCGAGUCCCACAUCAGACAAGGUUAAAUAAAUAUUUAUUUCAUUAACGACUCACCUGAAGACCCAUAUCUAUCCACCAAAUAAAUUGCUACAUAAAUUUCUCUAUCAAAAGCAAAUGUAAACCUCUUCCAGAAUUUGUUUCGCCAAAAGUAAACUAUGAUUUAUGAAAAAAGAAAAAAAGCUUGGAAAGUCACUCAGCAAUAAAAUAAAUGAGAAAAUAAUUUAAUAAAAAAUAGUUAAACAGAUAUCUCACCCUCCAAAAUAAACAACACUUAGAAACUCAACUAACCUCUAAAAGUAUGCAGUUUGUACACAAGUUAAUGAACCGAUUAAGAAAGUUGGGUAUAGUUUUGUUCAGAAAGUAGGGUUUCAACAGAACUGCAGGAUACACCAGACUACUGAAAGCUUAAAAAUAAUGAAGGGGGUGUAUCUCAGGUGCACACAGUAUAACAGGAGUUAAAGGACAGAACCAGAAUAAUUAGAAGAAAGGUCAGUGCUUUUUUAUUGUUUCAAAGUAUUAAACGUCAUCCUUUAAAUAUGCUUGUGAAUUUUUAGGAUCGCUCUUUUUUUGUAAUUAUUCACCACUUGUAAAAUAUUUGAGAAUUUUCAAACAAAAUUCAAUAAAAGACAAAAUAAUUUGCCGAUAUCAAAUGCCACAAUCUGAUAUGUGAAGCACGGGCAGUUCUCACAAAGGAACAUAAGAAGUGUUGCAUGAGCAGCUGGUUGGUCCUAUCACUCUAAAAGCGUCCCACUAAAACAGAUUAUAUAACAGCAGCAACAAAGUUCCAUGCCGUGCAAUUAAGUAACCUCUAGGAAAUAAAUUUAAUUUCGUUCCCCAAAGUUUAUGAACUGUGUAAAGGAGGCCUGCAAAACAAAAGGAAACUGUUGUGUCAUCAAUUUCAGCACGUAAGUCACUGGUUUUCCAGUAGUUUCCUGAUGGCUUCACCAAUAUUCUUCCGUAAGUUGCUCUUAGAUUAAGUUAUUUUUAGCGCUCUGUUCCACGCAUUACUUACCAUGUCAUUUCCCAUGGUUGCAUCAAUGGUUCAUACAAGCAAUUUCUUUAUCCAUAUAGACUUCAUCACAACCCUCUUCUUGGAAGUAUGUCCAUACAGUGUUAGGCAAGCAUAAAAAAUAGGCAUCAGGUUGCAACUCACCAAACAUUGGAAACGGACGGAAGAACUAAUAGAAAAGUAUGGAAGGAAUAUUCGCACUUUUCACAACCAACAAAACCCCACAACCCCACCAUUCCUAGAAAUGUUUGAAACUUGUGUCCUACCAAAAAGUUAGGCAAGCAGACAGCUGAAGUGGACCCUAGUUAUGUUGACCGAGUGAGAAUUCAGCAGAAUUGAUAGGAUAGUUUACCAAGGUCAUAUAUGGUCCAAAGGCAGUACAUGAAGAAUAAUCAGUAAUGAACAUGAGUUAACUUCGAUUACUGCAAGAUGGAUUCUCAAACAGCAAAAGGUUGGUCUUAAGUACUAGACACCACUAGUGAAUUCUUAAAAACAACAUUUCAUUUUUAAUGGCACAGACUCUGAAAGAUUCGCACAAGUCGAUAGCCAAAUAUAUUAAAGACCGAAAAGACACUCACUUAGCAUGCGUAUUCUCCAAGCAAAUUAACCUAGUAGUCGGGUAGUAGAGUGCUCCCUCGGGAUGCCUAAUAGCAGCUUCGAUCUGAUCGAGAUCCAUGGUGCCGUCGGAUUUGUUCUUGACGGUCCUUGGGUGCACGCCUCCAAUGGUCGAUAUGCCUCCAUUUUCGUAAACAUGUAUGUGGGAAUUGUCCCCAAGGAUGACCUCGCUGCCCCUGACCUCGCAAUGGACAAGCACCGAUAUGAGAUUUCCCAUGGUGCCCGAGGGCACGAAGAGAGCGGCUUCCUUCCCCAUGACCCUCGCCAUCUCGGAUUCGAAGCGGUGGGCGGUGGGGUCGGAGCCCAAAACGUCGUCCUCCACAUCGGCGCUCGCCAUGGCAGCUCGCAUCGCCUCCGUGGGCUUCGUGACGGUGUCAGAUCGGAGGUCUACUCUUCUCAUCACCAUUGUCUGAUGUUGUUCAUAGACGUCAAAAUUUUAUCCAGCAAAAACAAUAAACAGAACAUUUCAUCAAAAUACACUGAGAAAUUAAAACAAAAUUCCUAAAUUAUCCAGCAAGUUUACAAAAUAAACUCUAUCGCAAGAAGCAGAGAGCCCGAUUCAGCAUCAGCAGCCCGGUCGCAGCCGUGCAACCAAUGGGCUACAGACCUCACUCACAUUGAGAAAAUCUUCAUCAAUGGUCCGGAAAGGAAAGUCCAGUCCAACAAUCCAAUGGCCAGAAAACCGCAUAUUGGCAAGAUUUUCCCGUCGAAUUCAAUACAAAAUAAGUACAUAAAUAACUAGAACUCUCCUUCUUCUCUGAUAAAGAUAAAAUCAACAAAAAUCUUCCUUUAUUUCUUCCAAAAAUAGAACGAAGAAUCUUACCUUCUGGUCUUAAACCCCACCUCGAUAAAACUUUUUACACUUGCCUCCUUCUCUUUCGGAGAGAAGGCAGAUUCUCAAACACCCACUAACACGAACACCCAACCCCAAAAUCCGGAAUUGUACCGAACCCUCCUCCAAAGAUCCCACCUUUGGCUCAAAUCCGAACCCCAGAAAACGCGAGAAGAGGGAGAAAAAAGAAGCAAAAAUCCUCGGAGAGCGCCCCUCCACACGUCGAGCAAGGUCGAGAAGCCUCUCCACCACUCCUUGCUUUUAAAAACCUAACCCUAAGAUUCCAUGGAAUCCUCGUUUGGAUGCACCUCAAAAUUCUGGAAUCCUCUUCAUUAUUUUCCAUCUAGCUUCCUCCAUCGCCAUCCUUCGGUUGGCAUGAAUUGAUAACGUCGUGUUGGGAUAGGAAAGCCAAGAGAUAUUUUCGUCCGGACGUCCAAAGACCAAAGUAGAAGGCGGCCAUGAUAUCAAUGAUAACGCCGACUUCUUCAAAUAACGGACCCCGUUUGACCGGAGAAAAUAACGAUAUUGCUCCUCAAAACAUCGCUAUUGAAGGUUCUAUUUUCUUCUUUAUCGUUUCUAUAUAAUACUUAGAACUAUAACGACAGGUCUCAAAAAUACGUUGGAGUAGCCAUAGCAAUGCUACGUUAAAAUACGUUGGAGUAGCCAUAGCAAUGUUAUGUUCAUUGUUAUUCUAAACCUUUUUGGCAAGUUUUCAGACAUAUAAUUGCAUGUUAAUAAAUACACACUGUCUUAUUAAAGUAUGGAUUUUGCGUUCACUAGAUAUGAAGGAUGUGGUUCCCGUCGUAUAUCAGUUUAGCACCCAUCAUAGAAUAUAUAAGAAAGAAGAGAAUUCUAUUUUGACAUUUUAUGGCAGCUAAGAAGCAGCAUUUAUCUGCCAAAGAGUUUCAUUAGAAAAGCCUAGAUUCUUGUCAUUCUGAUCAGCAACAAAGGCAACAUUGAAUUGACCAAUAAAAUAAUUGACAAUUAUAGUGGGGAGCCCGAUGUAACAUCUUGUGGGAAACGUACCUCAGCGCCCUGCAUUGAUCUUUGACACUGACGUUUGGAUCUUAUGCAUUGUUACUAUUGCUGGGUGUUGCCGUCAAAAUCCGGCCUGACCACGAGGCGCUUGGUCUCGAGGCGUAUCGCUGGGCACAACGUCUUUUAAAACUUGCGUUCGUAUGCAAAUGGCAACAACUAGGCGGCUUCUAAGAAAGUAUUCAAUCUUUAAUGUUGAGCCACGUAUCUCUGUCUGGCCAGUCCAACUUGCCAGAUGUAAUAAGAUACCAAGAACAAAGGCCAGCAACAUCUUUUUAAACUUGUGUUCGUAUUGGAAAGGCAACAACUAGGCGGCUCCCAAGAAAGUAAAAUACAAAUUUGCUAUUAUCAUCAUUGUAAUUAGUCUUACAUGUUGUCUCACAUAUCCCUGUCUAGCUAGUCUAACUUGCCAAGUGAAAUUAUAAACCAAGAACAAAGGGCAGCAACAUCUUUUGGAAAUUGUGUUCAUAUUGGAAUGGCAACAACGAAGCAGCUUCCAAGAAAGUAAAGUACAAAUUUGCUAUUAUCAUUACUCUACUCAAGUCUCACAUGUUGAGCCAGAUAUCUCUAACUACCAUGACUUGCCAAGGAAAAUUAGAUACCAAGAACAAAGGGCAGCAACUAAAGGGCUCUUUGAAAGAGAAAAAGACAUUUUUGCUGUUAUCAUCGCCGCCCUCAGUCUUACAAGUAGAGUCCUAUACCUGUGUCUGGCUAAUAGUUGCCAAGGAAAAUUAGGUACCAAAAGCCGCAUUAGAUGGGAAAUGCAUGCACCGAAUACCAGCCAUCUUUAGAUUAAUCAAUUGGCAUCCCUCGUGCUAGUGGUCCUUACUGUAAUUUUUCUCAAAAAAAAAGAAGAAGAAAGAAACACGUAAACUUAAUGCUUGUCUUCUGGAUAACCAUCUCACCAGAAUUGACGGCUCCAACAAGUUUAUUGAUGUCUCCAACAUGUCUGAUAUCUUCGGAAUCUGCAGCUGGAAGCACUGUAAUUUCAACUGAUCUUUCUUCGAAUCAAAAUAUUGUUGUCUUCACUGGAAUCAGUUUCAAUCACAUCAUCCAUUUUGACCUCAUAAACUGAAUUGGUAACCGUCUUCUCUCCUACCGUCAGAUCCAAGAAAAUAGCCUUACAAAUUAUUUCACCUUCCACAACAUUGCAACAACAAUUGGCUGCAGAGUUGGACCUCAAGCAACUGUCAUAUCUCUCUCUGAAGGAUGAUCUUCCACCACAACUUAAUUGCAUGAGUUCUCCAUGUGGUUGGCUAGUUAGCUACUAAUUGUGCAGGUCCAUCAGAACAAGCAAAAAUUCUGUUCAACUAACUUUUGCACAUCAGUUUUACUUCAACAUGUAUCUGGCAAAUUGUAAUGAGAAUCUGCAUUGUCAUUAACUUGACCCACAAGUGCCAAAUUUUCAUCUAGUGUUUGAUCGUGCUUCGCCUGUCAUUUUGCAAUCAUAAUCUUUUUUUUCUUUACACUUCCAGAAGCCUCUGGAUUCUAUCAUACUCUGCCAAAAGCUGCUUUCCAUAACAGUUGUCCUAUAUACUCCCAACAGGCCACAGAGUGUGCUUCCAGUUCUCUUUAUUUGUGAACUUCUCUGUUGAACCACAGAAUCUGCAAAGCCAACACACACACACACACACAAAAAAGGAAAAGGCCAGGGUCUGUAUUAAGCUGCCAAUUAUUUCUGCUUCUGUAAAGCAUAGAACAAUCCAAGUUCUGUUGCAGACUAGUUAUUUUCCUAAGGGCUGACCGUAUAUCUGAACAUAUUAUUCCAAUCCUUGAAUGCCAAAUAAGGUGCAAUGCACAAUGCAAGCUUCUUAAGACGAUAAUAAUAACAAUAAUGACAAUGAGAAUCAAUAGAUAACAUGCCAAAGAGACAGACACAAAAGACAGAUAUAUGUCUACAUUUUUGAUGCAUUGAAUAUAUGGACUAGUGAUCGGUCAAAAUGAUUUUGGUAAAACAACUCCACGGAGUAACAGAAUAUUUGCCCUUGGGAAAAGUGUUUCCUGAUAUCUAGUCAAACCUUCGGACAGAAUGAAUGUGGAAAAUUUUGGUUACGGCUGGAUAGUGUGCAUAUCGUAUCCUUGGGAACCAAUGUCAAGAGAUUCAUUACUUAGAGGAUCCGAAUGCAAAAGUCAAAUCUCCACAUAAGUAGAUACAUCUCACAACAUGUCAACUUCAAUAACUACAUUCUGAUAUUGUUUUCCUAGAUGAAUUGGAGCUCAGAUGAAUUUCAUCAUAAUAAAAUUCUCAUGUAAGAGAACUUUCUGUUCAGGUCAAUAUGUGCAUUUAUUUGCAUACUAUCUUCAAAAGACUAUAGCUGCUGCAAUGAUGACCUAAAGCAGUCAUCCUAACCUUGGCUCUGGCUGAAUUCUCAGCAGCACUCAUUGAUCAUAUAGUCAACAGCCCUUUCUGUUCUUGCACCAAGGACACAAUGGGUCUGACAUUGACCAUAAUUUCAAAAUGAUGCAUAGGUUUUUCACCCAACCCAAUUGCAGCUUUUAAAAAGAAGACCCUCACUUUGAGCCACGGUGAAGAUUCCUUCUUACCACAUCUCGCUCUCCUCCAUCGAGUAUUCAUCACCCUUUAAGUCAACAACAAUUUAUUUCACAAGUUCAACAAAAUGCUUUUGAUGCUUUCCACAUCUAAAUAUAAUCACUUCUCUCAAGGUUCUUCAAGGUGCUCUUGAUCCUGUCCAUUAUGUCCUUCAAAGCAAGUUGCUCAAACUAUUGACAGCCACUACCCAUCACGAAUAAGUUUACGAAACAUCAACUUCCUAUGAUACUCAGGAUCAAGAAAAUAAAGCAAAGUAGGAUUAAAAGCACACUUUUAGGAGUUUCACUUAGAAAUCUAAAAUCAAAACCAAAGUGUUCCAGUUUCAACCAAAACCAAUCCAAAAUCAGGGCUGGUUCUGGAUUGUUCAGCUUUAGGUAACUAAUGGAGCCAUAUAAAGUGCACGCAAGCUAAAAUACUCAUCCUUUUAUCAUUUCCUAUAUUUUUAGAUGCUAAGAAGCAUGUUCAAUAGAUUAAGAACUGGAUUUUGCAACUUUUAAGAAAAUUCAAAAGUAUUGAUUGUUAUGGGAAAGCACUUUUUAAAGCAUGUGUUUGUCUCUCUUAAAUCUCAUAAGAGGGCACCAGCUGACUUGGUAAAGUCACUGGGCAUUGGAUACCUGACCUGGGUUCAACUCCUGCCCUCACCCCCAUUUCAAAUGGCUUCCUCCUUAGUUCUCAAUUUAAAAAAAAAAAAGAAAUAAAUAAAAAUAAAAUCUGAUAAGGCAUUGGAAUCUCAUACAAUGAAUUGGCUAAUACAUUGAAUGAUAUAGACUUAUUUGGCUAAGCUUUUAGAGUAUCAAAAAGUACUUUUGGCCCUCAAAAAGCACUUUUGGAUGGUAUUGUGAUGUUUGGUAAAAAGUCAAAAAGUUGUUUUAGUCUUAUUAAAAAGUUGAAAAGAUCUACUUGAGGAAAGCUCUAUUUUGAAGCUUUCUCUAAAAGUAUUUUUUGGCUCAUAUCGGAAAGCUAUUUUGAUUUAAAUAAAAUUAUUUUAAUGACUAAAAUAUAAUAUGAUAUAUUAUAAACAUAUAAUAUCAAUUCUCAUAAUUAUAUCAUAUUAUAUUAUUAUACUAUAAAUAUAAUAUAAUAUAAUAAUAAAUUAAUAUUAUGAUAUAUUAUAAAUAUAUAAUAUAAUCUAUUAUAGAAUUAUUAUAUGAUAAAAAUAAUAAUAUUUAUUACUAAUAUAAUAUUAUUAUAUUAUAAUAAUAUAAUAUACUAUGUUAUAUUAUAUUUAUUAUUAGAUUAAAUUAUAAUCCAUUAUAUUAUAUUACAUUAUAUAUUACAUGAUAAUUACAAUGAUAUUAUAUUAUAGUAUAUAUUAUAUUAUAUUACAUUAUAUGAUAAUAAUAUUAUAUAAUAAAAUAAUAUUUUAAAAUAUAAUAACAUUUAUGUUAUAGACAUAUAAUAUAAUUAUAUUAUAAUGUCAUAUUAUAUUAUAGCUAGAUUAUAACUAAUAUAUUAUAUUACAUUAUAAAUUAUAUUAUAAUUAUAAUAACAUUAUAUUAUAUUAUAAUAUUAUGUUAUAUUAUAUGACAAUAAUAUUAUAUAGUAUAAUAAUAUUUAAUAUAUUAUAUUAUAUUAUAUUAUUCUUUAUUAUACAAUACUAUGCAAUAUCUUUUAUUAUCAUUUUAUCAUAUCAAAAAUAUUUUUUAUUUUAGUUACCAAACAUAUAUUAAAAUUUUAAAGCACUUUAUAAAUAUGACUACUAAAUAGCAAAUAGCUUUUUAUAAAAAUUCUACUUCCAAAAGCUUUAGUUCUCUAAAGCUCUACUUCUAAAAGCUCCAAAAACUCUACUGCUAACAGUAAUUCCAAACUAGACCAUAUUACAUUAUAACCCUAAUUUUAUAAUUAUAUUUUUAGAAAUAAUUUUUAUUAUUUCAAUCUGGAACCAAAUUCCCUGAACAAUAAUAAAUUUAAAAAUAGUGUCUAUUUUAUUUUCUUAACUUACGUCAUAUUUCUUUCUUUAUUAACAUUUCCUACUUUAACUAACAUUUUAUAAUGUUUGACCAUAAUGGCCAAAACCAAAAUUCAUUGCAAAAAUCUUCUUUUUUUUUUCAGCUGAAUCUGAAUUUUCAAAAAUCUUGGUUCUGAAUAUCAAUCAUCUAGUAAAUGAUCAUGCAUUCAUCUCCAAUGGUCCACAAAAUUCCACUUCUUAACAACUGCUGUCUGAAGCAGUUGCCACACAGAAGCAUUCUUUUUUCUUUCUUAUGUCCUCAACAUGGGAACCCACAUAGAUAUCCUACCCAUUGUCUCAAAUGUAGCCGUUUCGGCCACAAGAGUAGUUCUAUCAAGAUACAAUUGUCCACCCAAAUAUCGGUGCAUUCCCCUGGAUUAGUUCCUUUGCCAUUACAAGGAUCAGCAAAUAUCCUUUACUUCUUCAAGUUCAAUUAUAUUGUAUGAAACAAACAUGUGAUGUAUCCUAGCAAUAUUUUAUUAGAUCUAUGAAUAUGCUUAUGAUCACAUCCAAAUAUGCUGGGCACCAAACAUCAACCAGAUUUCAAGAUUUUGUCAUUCAUUUAUUGAUCCAAUUUUACAAAUGCAUCUGUUGAAGCAUGCUGAAGCAUACCAAAUAAUAAGUUAACUUAGAACUAGGUUUUGUGGUCACCCACUCAGUUAACUAGGUUUUGUGGUCACUCAGUUCAAAGUUCAAACCAUCUCCACCACAUAACCUAUUUCUAAUUUGUCAAACCCAAGAUCCAUGACUAAGUUAACCUUUUGAUACCAGAGCAGAUAAGAUGAGCUUUGCGGAGCUUUUCUUGGGCACAGCCUCUAGAGUAAGCAGGACAUGGUUUGGGAUUAUCAUGGACUUGGGAUUAGAUAUGACAAAGCCAGGUGUGACAACUAUAACCAUUAACAAAAAUGACAUAUAUUGGCCUUCAACUUCGGCAGAAACCUCAAAAAUCUAAUCAUUACAAUGCUCUCGGUCAAAAGGAGUGGAUAGUACAAUGUGACUAGCACCAUAAAAGGAUGGUUGUUUGCCUAGUUCAUAGCUGUUCCCUUUUAGUUUCACUUUUUGCACUUGAAGCUACAGAUUUGCUGCGAGACCAACUACCAACCUCAGCGAGGAACUCUGCUCCAAGGCCCAUAACAGCAUGUGCAACAAGCAGCAACACUUGAAUAGUGGUGCCCAUCAACCGUCUAAAGGAGGGGCCCUAUCAUUAAGUCGAGUGCCUGCAAUCCCAACCAAGGCAAUAUAACUCUAGCUUAUCUGGUCAUAGUCCAUUACUUGAUCAUGCUUUCUCUUUCUUUGAGCAUCCUGGAGUAUCUUGCUUCAGUUUCUCGCAUUAAGCAUUUGAUAUUGGCUCUUGAUGUGCUUUACCACCAAUUAUGUUGGGGGAAAUCCUUUGAUUAUCAAGUAUGAUAAUCACAGCCAGUAUAAAACUCUUUGUACAUAUUGUAAGGCCUUGGGUCACAGUUUGUGGACUUCCAACAAGCUCACCAGGAAGAAAAUGAUUCACUAACAAUAUUCAACCAUCGCAGUCACUACACUUACAAGCUCCCAUGCAUGAAUAUGUUAUUGCAACAUAUCUUGGACCAUCUUGAUCAGCCUACUGCACUAUGCAUAUCAGUUUCUUCAACCUCUAGUACAUCUGCUCUCGCUGAAAUAUCCAAUACUUUUAAAUCUAAUUAAAUAGUUGACUGUGGAGCCUCUUCCAUUGUCAUCCUGGCCAUAUAAUUUUUGAUGCCUCCAUUCUGGCUCAUUCAUCACCGCUUCAAACUCCUUUUCAGAUAUAAUCUGAUGAUGGUUCUCCUAUACCGAUUACACCCUAGGGUAUUCCUGCUCGCUGUACGGCAUCACUAGCUAUUUUUCAGUACUUCUUGUUUUACAUGUCCCAAACUUGCUAUGGGCAUUUUCUCUGUUAGCUUGCCAAUCACCAUUGAACUAAUAUUUAACUCUUCAACUUGUUUGGUGCAAGAUUGUCAGACAAUGUCAUAUUAGGUAUCAAACAACACUCUACCAUGCUUUACUCAUUUACAUUUCAUUUAAAUUUCAAAUACUCAUUAAGCACAAACAAACUUCAGCAUCAACCAUCCUCACAACAUACACAUCCACUAAAAGCAACCAGCAUUAAUAUGGAUAUAAUAACAUAAGCAGGUCUAUAAAUAAGAUGAACAUGUAGCUUUUAAACAUAACCACAACCAUCAAGCCAUGUAUAACUUAUUCUGGGUCAGAUGGUUAUGUUGAAUAAUAAGCAUAUCAAAUGUUUGAGGAAGGGAUCAUUACAAAUUUUUGCACCUUUCAUCAAAGGCACUGGUGAACAGAAAGAAGAAAAUUAUUAAAUUGCUAGUGCCUGCCUCAUUCUGCCGUACCAUCAGUCAGUAUCUGUUGAACAGCAUGCUGGGGGAAAGUUUCAGAUCAACAUCAUAUAAGAAACCAUCAGAUUGAAGUGUAAAAGAAGAAGAAAUCAGUUGUCGGUUUACCUUAAUACAUGUUAAUGCAUAGUAUACAUCAUUCUCUGAAAUUUGGUAAUGGAGGACAAGCCUGACACUGAAAUAUGUGAAAAACAACACCAUCACAAUACCUCCAGUUCAAAUGUAAUGAACUAUUUUUAUCCUUAUUAAUCAAAAUAUUUGUCAGUUUGACACAAGUCUGGAGACUUAGGCAAGUAGACUGUCAUCUAAAGAGAGAUUGCUACAUUUAAUGAUUACUAUAAUAUCAUUAAAGCAACAUGAAGCCAAAGCAAAGGCGAUGCUAAUCAAAUUUCUCACAACCAAUGUACUUCAAUGUUAGGAGGUAAUCUCCUAAUCUGGGUUUCAUCAACCAAUCAAAUAUACACCAGCUAUUUUGUAUUCAUUAGACAUACAGUUGUGGGAAUGAAUAUGCAACGAGACUCACUAUAAUUUGCGUAAGAGCUCUAAAUAAAUAGAUCUCUGGGUAUUAUGGCUGCUCUCUAUGAAGUAAUAGACUAAAGCAAUAGCUACUAGUUCCUAGGUAGCUGAUCAUUUUCAAAACUCUUAUCCCCAAGGUAGAAAAUCAAACACAGAUACAAAAUGACAUGGAAAAUAAACCUACAACAUUGCACCUCUAACUCACAUUUUAUGCUCAGAGUUCUUCACACAAAAAACUUCAAGGAUUAGGCCAUGCAUCAUAAAGAUCAAUUACUAAAGUAAAUGUCAGGUCUAGGGAAAAAAAUCUCAAAUGUGCCCAGUCCUAUGAAAAUAACAAAACAGAGAACUAAAACUAGAUUACUGCUGUGACAAUUAUUUUUGAAGGAUUUUCUAAUCCAUCAAAGUUUUUUAUUUUUUUUAUUCUAUAAAUGCCAUGAAUUUGACCUCACAAAUAGAAAAUCCUGUCUCAUUGUUUAUUUUUUCACUCUGUUUUUGAAAUAGUAGGAAAAACUAUUUCAACUAAAAAAACAAAAACCGUUUGAAACUUAUUUUAACAUUAGAAAGAUGAGCAAGAACCAUGUUACACAAGAUAAAAUUCUUUUUGUUAGGUGUGAAAUGCAAGCAUGAAUGUGAUGAGCCUCUAAGAGAUAACUGUUGCUGCAAGUCAUGCACUAGAAUGGACAAAUCCAAGUUUAGAUCAGAUUCUUUAAGAUAAAAUAAAGUUUCAAUUGCAAUCAUUCGCAUGCAUAUGCGUGCAAAAACAUGAAUUCUUGAAUCCAGAUAUAGAUUUAUUACAGAAUAAGAAUUUAACUCAUCAUGCAAAAGAAGAAAAGAUAAGAUAAAUUUCAUGCAUAAUCUAUAUAUCUGAAACAAAGUUUACAAAAUUAAGCUCGUUUUAUAAUACUAUGGUUGGUCGAGCUUUCCAUAAUCUUACCUAGCAGGAAAGAAUUCGUUGAGCUCGAUAACGACUUUUCUCUUUUAUGAAAAGGUCACAUUGUGUGAUAUGAGGCAAAAUUCAAUGAAUAUAAUACAGACAACUUCCAUUCUAAUAUAGAUGAAAAUCCACCCAAAAAAAAAAAAUGAAAUCCUAAUGCUAUUUUGACCGGAACGAAUAUGCAAAACUUGCUUUGCUAAAAUGAAAAUGCAGAACUUCCAAUGCUAUGAAGGACAAGUAAGGAAUAACGCAGAAUAGCCUAGUGGCAGCUGCCUGGGUCAAACCUGGUUGAGCUUGCUGGCAUUGCAAGUAUGCCAUGUACUUCCAAGACUUGGCAGAGCCUUUUAGGUGAUAUGAGUGAACUAUCUGCAAUGCUAAAGAAAAUCUGUCCACAAUAAAGAAGAAAUGGAAGAGUUAAAUACCCAUGAUUAUUACAUAGGUCUUCCACAGUAAAACACUGAUGAGCAUAGACUUCAAAAAGCAUAUGUUAUGACUGGUAGGUUAUACCAACCAUAUUAGUCUCCACUGAGGUUGCAUCAAUACUUAGUUCUUUGAUUUGUUUCAGCCCAUCUGAAAAAACCAAUAUUGAGAAGAGUAUAAAUGCUUCUGAACAAUUUAACAAUAUAGAAUUCCAUACUAACUUGAUUCUUGUGAAGAUAAGCUACUAAUUCGAGCCAAAAGAAUUGCUUUGAAUAUAUCAUCAGAAGUCAAAAGGUAGGAAUGCCUUCCAUCCAAUAAAUGACUAGACGUGAUGUAAAUUUGGUUGUAGGUUAAUGAGAGAAAUAUAUAGAACCUGCAAAAAUUUUGGCCUUUCUGUGAUCAUCCUCAAGCUUCCCGAUGUUUUCUUGCAGAGCAACAUAAGCUGCUGCGCAAAGCACUCCAACCUGUCUCAUGCCGCCACCUAAGGUUUUCCUAAGCCUUUUAGCCUGAGAGAAGUUAAAUAUCAUAACUACAAGUCAUGUGGAUAAAUAUACUAGCAACUUCAUAUGUAGACCACUACCUUAGCAAUAAAGUCUUUUGAGCCUACAAUGACAGAUCCAACCGGAGCACCCAACCCUUUUGAUAAGCAGAGCUGAAUAAUCAUUGGAUAAAAAAAUAAAAACAAUCAUUCUUUAUUUUUUAUUUAUUUUUCUUUCUUAAGAGACAGAACCAUUGCAUAUUUCAUGGCCAAAUGCAUAACAAGCAAUGGACAAGAAAAGAGAGUUCAUGCUUGAGUUAACAAUAAAAAGAAACCCUCAGAAUGGACAAUUGAACAAACAUUAAUGAAGGAUAAAAGGAUGUGAACAAGUUAAAUCAUACCAAAGCUGAGUCCGCAGCUUGUAGAAGCCUAUGAACAGGAACCUUCAGUGCCUGACAUAUUGAUUGGAUACAUUCAGAUACACAAACUGCAUGAGCAAAUAAACCCAAAUAUGAAAAAUCAUGCUAUAAAUAAAUUCAUAUUCUUGUUUCUCAAAUACAGUGAUGUCAAAUAAUAUGUACAGAUAGACACAAUUGAAGUUAUUUUUUGUGUGUAUGUGUUUGGUGCGGGGUGAGGGCUAAAUCAAAGUGAUGUUGACCACGCGCGUGCGCGCGCACACAUACAUACAUAUGGUUAAGAUAGAAGCAAUAUAGAGACCUAUAAGACAUUAUCUAGUCAAGUUAAAAUCAUAUUACCAUUAUCAUCAGUUGGUCCAUUUGUAUAACAAAUAAAAAACGUACUAUUUUCUAAGCAAGGACCUUUUUCUUUGGGAAGUUCUACCCAAUGAAAUUUAUACAGCAUUUAUUGAAAGCUGUCCAAUCAACAUAAGCUCAAAGACAAGACAGUUUCUUUAAGCAUUUAACAAUAACUAUUCAUUAUAUCAAAAAAUGACGUAUCAAAUUUCAAUACAUAAAUAUGUGAAUUACAUAAAAGGUAAAUAAACCAGCAAUGACAUUUUAUUGAUACUUACUACAGAAGCAUUGAAGAUGCGAGCUCCAUCAAUAUGAAGCUUCAAACCAUGCUUUUUAGCUAUCUUUCCUACCGUGUCUGUAUAUUCUGCAGAAAGGCAUCUCCCCCCAGAACUGUCACAACAACCAAGAAAGCUAUCAAACAAGGGAAUGUGAACUUGUGAAGAAAUUAUGCAUUUAAUGAAUACUUACAAUGACCACAAGAAAGCAUGCUAUGCAUUUUUUUUUCCCUCUUUUACAAAUCCUAGAAUUUAAAACUAUACCAUGAAGUCAGAGGGAAUUGUUGGCAUUUCAAGAACGCAAGCCAUAAAAGUUUCUAAAAUGGGAAGCAUUAGCUUCCAUAUUCAUAUGCGGAUUCGUUAGUCUUCUCAUGUUAAGCAUCAGUCCUAGGUUAAAACUGAAAGAAAGAGGCUAAUUCCAUGAUGACAAUACAUGGUAUGAUGUCACUAGGAGAACAAACAGAGAUGCAUGAUUGUUUUUUCAAAUGUUUUCUUUAACAAAAAAAAAAAAAAAAGGGUUCCUGCAAAACCUUGGGGCUUGGACCAAUUAUGUCAUGAAAACUAAUAAAUUUGUAAUGUAAGAUGUCGUAUAUUAAAUAUUUUCCAGAGUAUCCAUGAUCAUAAUCUUUCCUUUGUCUACAGCAUGUGAAAGAUAGUCUAAUAUGGAAGAUCACAUGAAAUCAUAUAAAAUCUAAAAAAUUAGGAACAUGAUUUUUAUGUAGUGAAUCAAUUAGAAUGCAGUUAAUAAGAUGAUCAUAUUAAUUUUAUAAAAGACUGGAGAAAGAGAGACACUCACUUAGCAUGUGUGUUCUCCAAGCAAAUUAAUCUAGUAGUCGGGAAGAAGAGUGCCCCAUCAGGAGAUCUAAUUGCUGCUUCAAUCUUAUCAAUGUCCAUGGUGCCAUCAGGAUUGUUUUUCACCGCCUUUGGGUGCACGCCUCCAAUGGUCGAGAUGCCUCCAUUUUCUAAAACAUGUAUGUGAGAAGUGUCCCCAAGGAUGACCUCACUGCCCCUCACAUCGCAAUGGACAAGCACAGAUAUGAGGUUUCCCAUGGUGCCUGAGGGUACAAAGAGUGCAGCUUCCUUCCCUGUUAGCUUUGCCAUUUCAGAUUCAAGGUGGUGGGCAGUAGGGUCUGACCCCAAGACGUCGUCAUCCACAUCAGCGCUUGCCAUGGCAGCCCGCAUUGCCUCGGUGGGCUUUGUGACAGUGUCGGAUCGGAGAUCCACUGUUCUUUUCACCAUUCUCUGAUAUUGUUUAGAUACUAACACCCCUCAGUCCUUUCCUUAAAGAUAUCAGAAUUAAGUUGUAACUUCUUGAUCUUGUAGUCUAAGACACAUACACAACAAGAAGAAGACGAACAAGAAGAAUCUUGAGAUGAAGACCGCAUGCAAUUUUGCAUACAGUUGUUCUUAGAAAAUCAGAUUAUGGGUAAUUACACUUAAAGGGAAAUUCAAAAAUCCAAGAAAGAUUUUUUUUUUUUUGUAUAUAAAAUAGGGGUAAGAGGUUGAGAUAUGCAAACAUGUAAAGAAACAAUUCAAGUGGAAAAUUAACAAACUUACAUUGUACCUUUUUGACAAAUUAUUGAAGAUCUUUGUCAACUUGGUAAGGCAAUUCAAGAAGAAAUUUGACAUCUAUUAGGAUGAUGACAAUUUGACAUCUAUUAAGAAUAUAAUUAAAGUACAAAAUUUUGACUUUCAAGAAACAUCGCAUUGGAAGAAAAUGAUAAACCAGCAAAGUUCUUAAGGACUCCUAGCAGAUAAUUUAACAAUAAAAUAUGAAAAAACGCGGCCAAUUAGAGAGAGAGGGAGAGAGAGAAAAAAAGGAAGCCAGUAACCAACAUCAAGCCGCAUCAAGCGUCCCUUUGUUGUUUCUUUGACCCAAACAACUACAUUCCCCCACUUUUUUUUUGGUAACAGCGAUAGCUCUACUUCUUUUUAAGAAGAUUAGAUUAAAAAAGAACAAUCUUGUUUCUUUGAGGGUGAGAAAAUAAAAGAAUCUCACCUUUGUUCGUUUGUAAACCCAACCUCGCAAUUGGAAAGAUGAAAUCUUUACACUUGUGCCCGACUUCCAAGCAAUCAAACCCAGACUCCUCUCAAGAACCCACCUGUCCAAUACCAAAAACCCUACUCGCAAAAGUCCCACCUUUGUCUCAAAUUCGAGACCAAACACGAUAGUGAGAAACAGGAACUAGGUCAGAGUCCUCACAGAUGCCCCUCAACGCAUCAAGGAUCCUCUAUUUAUAGCCCUAAAGAAACCCAGGUUCCACCCCAGGAAUCCAAGCGCCAUACCUCAACCCUGUUUUCCCUGUCUCUGCUUUCCUCUCCUCUUGUUUUUCUACUUAUUGAUUAAUACCAUGGAAACGUCUCUCUCCGAGACCGAGACUCGAAUAGGAACCGGGUUUCUUAGCCCACUGGAUAUUUCUCUUGGUCUCUGACACGGAGAGAAAAAAAGGAACGACGCGCGGAGCUCCCCGCGGGAAGAACGUCGCCACGUAGUGAAGGAACGGAGACGAAACUAAACGUUCGGCACCGCGCAUGCUGAAUGCAUGGUAACGGGGAAGGACACAUGUCGAGCAGUCGGGUUUUGACCUGGGUCCGACCCGUUUAGCUCGGGUUUGAAUUGGACUUUUUUGUCACGGUUACCUGAUUUUGAUCCCUCUUGAUUUGUAGUCGGUUUAUAUCAUUGAAUUUCUAAAUAUCCCACAUUUUUCUAUAAUUAAUAUACAAAUAUAAUUUAUUUUUUUUUGGGUAAGUGAUGUAAUAUUGUUUUCAUAUCUACAACCUUCCCCGCUUUUUUAAAUUAGAAACAUCCCAAAUUUCGCAUGCAUGAUGACCAUGAUUGAGAGGGCCUUCUAAAGUGGCAACACAUACAUGUUGUCGUAAUUGAGAAAUUAGUUUUCCAAUUCAAAGUUGAGAUGAUAAGGAUCCUGUUUCUUUAUCGGCUUGUCCGAUAAUUGGAUCAAGCGAGGUUGGUUAUUAAAAAGUUAAAGCCAAUUUCAGAUAUCGAUUUAUCAUAGAUUGUAGAAUAUAGUGGUCCAUAGAUUAAUUCUAAUAGUUCAUCAAAAAUCAUGUUCCAAUGUCUUCUUAUUCAAAAUUAUCGGUUUAUUAUGAAUUGCAGAACAUAAUGGCCCAUGGAUCAAAUCAAAUUGUCCAUCAUAAAUCAUGUCCAUGCCUUCUUAUUCAAGAUUACAUAUUAAUCAUGCCAGGAGCAAUUCACAAAAAGUUGUUGGAUCCUCAUAAUAGGGGUUGUGGAUGUACUCCAUAUUCUGCAAGAACCUAUUAUCCAAAUGAAGAGGUUUUUGCUUUUGAAAAUAUAUUUCUAGCUUCAAUAUUUUUCUCAUAAAUCCUCAUAUCUGAUCUAUGUCAGCUAGGUUUUAAAUGGAUAGAGGCGUAAUUCUUGCAGUGCAUGGGCAGUUGUACAUGUAUAUCUUUUACAUCGUUUAAAAUUUUAGAAUUUGCUAAUAAAUAUCAAAGUAUUUCAAUAUGUUGACAUGAAACAAUAAUCCAGUUUCUCUGGGAACAUACUUGGGAACUUGGUACCGCUGCCAACCCAAUAGUAUCAGUUAGGCAGUAUAGCUAGGUAAGCAAUAUAUUAUUAUGGUACAAAGUUCCUGUCCCUUGUUUGUUUGCCUUUUUGGCCCAUUUUAUUUUCAUAUGAUCGACCAUGUCGUUGGAUUUAGACUUCUCUACGAUCCAAUGGAUCAGUUGUUGGGACCAGUAAGAGAAAUCCUCUUCUUUUGCAUUGACCUAAGGGUCCCAAACAAAUUGAGAGCUCGGCUCAAGCUAGGAAAAGCUUGAAUGAAACUUGGUUUAAAGCUAAAUAAACUGAGCUUGAACCAGUAAAACAAGCUCAACAUUUAUUUCAAGCUAAGUCAAAAACUGAUCCAGCUUGAUCAAGCUUGGCUUGGCAGGACAUGUAUAUAUAUAUAUAUAUAUUGUAUAUUUAUAUCUUAUAUAAAUGAGUCAUUGAGCCAAGGUUCCAACUGGUAUGUCUUUUUAAUCUUCGGCUAUCAAGCACUUGCUUCAAGGGUAUUAUCCUUUUCCUUUAGGUGAAGGGGGUAGGAUUUUGAUUUCUAUUGGAGUCAGCCCCCAAAGGAUAGGUUAAAUUUAGCAUAAGACNNNNNNNNNNNNNNNNNNNNUAUUCUUUAGAUCAAUUAACAAUCAAUUUAGGCCUCAAACAAAACUCUUAACCAGACUUGAAAUCAAGAGUUGAGUUUUUGUUCAAGCCUGAACCAACUUGAUUUAACCUUAAUUUGAUUUCUGCUCAAUGCUGAAUUAUCAAGUUGAUCAAGCAAGCUCAACUUCUUGAAUUGAGUAUGCAGUAAUGAUAAUAAAUCAAGCUUGAUCUCAAAAUUCAAAUUCAAAUUAAUUUAAAUCAAGGCCGAUCAAAUUCAAGCUUGAUCAUGCUUGGCUAACAGGGCUUAGCAGCAGUUUUAACAUAAAUUGAAGAGGAGAGAUUAAGCUUCAUCAAUAAAGAGUUUCUACAACUUCUUUAACAAAGAGUUUGUAUUACUAAAAUGCUUUACCUAUAAAAAUAUGGGUAAAAAUGUAAAGCAAAUUGUCUAAUUGAAAAAGAAAAAGGCCAUAUUUUGAUGCCAUUUCUAUAUAUAAAAUAUUAAAGAAAAUAAUAGAAGGCUUAUUUCUUACUAAAUAAUACAAUAUACGCCAUUCCUCACCUGAAAAUAAAUAUUGGCAGUAGCCUCACGAACCAACAAGCUUUAAGUUCUUGGAUGAGUCCAGCCGUUUCCUUCCUCUGAAUGGAUCACCCAAUCAGCACAUACUACUGGAUAAAAUUCUCAUCUAAUUUGAUCUCUAUCUUUUUUUUUUUUUCUUUUAUGGGUACAGGAUCUUAUCCUUAUAUUUUCCUUGAGACCUUUACGUGCAUACGUAGUAGAACCCAAGUAGCCAAUAUUGGCGGAAGUAUCAAUUGCAGUUAAUGUAGUAAUCGCUUGCUAUAAUUCAGAGUGGUAGUAGCAUGAUAUCCCCACUUUCUAAACACCAUCUUGCAGUUCAAUUACUUAAUAUUCUCAAUCUAAUCUCUCAUCUAUUCUAUUCGAGCUGCUUUCUCUUCCUCAUUUAUCAUCUUCCCUGAAGAAAAGUAUGCUUACUUGGAAUACAGAUUAUAGUUUUAUGAUAUGGAGGCUUUCUCCAGUAAGAACUAGAAAUGGUUACCAGAAAAAGGUGCAGUACAUGUGGAAGAAAAGUCAAGAUGGUAUUUAAUUUGAUGUAAUAUUUUUAUUUUUUUGAUUAUUCAAUUUAUAUUGAUAGAUACUCUCCCAUUGGGUUCUUGUCACUCUUUUAUUCUUUUCUAAAGAGAGAUGGGUCGUAAUGUUCGGAUUUAGUAAAGAAAUUACGGAUUUUUGUUUGUCUAAGGCAAGCGACAGGGACAGACCCCUCAGUUACAAAGCUUUGAACACAACCAGCAGGCCAUUAAAUGAAAUCUCUGAUCCAACAAUCAACGGGAAGGCCGGAGCCAAAAUAAUUUUAAGGCAUGUUGGGGUGAGGGGGAGCCAAAAUAAUUUUAAGGCAUGUUGGGGUGAGGGGAAUUCGACUAUAAAGUUGAAAUGGAAAUGAAAAUAAAUUACUGUUAUUUUAACUAUUUGAUUGGAGAGAGUCCGAUCCCAUUCAGAUCCCAAAUGUCCUAUUCAUUGGAAACUUAAUUUCUAUUCUCUUUUGGUAUUCAAAUCUCAUUUUAGUUUCAAUUUUAAUUUUAAUUAUAAAUCAAAUAUAUCGAAAGAUAUAGCUAUUCUAGUUUCUAUUUCAAUCCAUUCCGAUUUUGAUUCUAGCCACCAAUCAAACACAUGCCCUUAUAGCAAUAAGUUGACAAGAAAGAAGCCUCAGUUGCAUAAUUUGAAAGUUAUAAGCAUCAGAGACACUGCACAACAAGAUCGGAUGACCCCUAGAUAUAGCUUGACUCCAUAUCAGUCUACAAAACCAUACCAUGUGAUCCUUGCCCCCUUGAAGUUGGCUCAGCAUCGCCAAAUUCAACAAUUAAAAGGCCAAGCAUAAAUUAGGAACUGACAUUCACUUUAAAGGUGAAUAAUUCCAACACAAACUCAUUUUCAGAAUUUUAGUUAUCAGAAAUUGAGAGAGAAAAUUGAAGAUAUGAGCUACAGCAGCAAGGAGAUCACCACAGCAAUAGGAAAUCAUCCAUUGGCUUGAUCGACAUCUUCACCAUGCAACAUGGCCAAAGCAAGAUAGUGUCAUGUUCUUCAAUCAUCCUGCUUUAAGCCUUUAAAUUCAAAGGGCUCCACAAGAACUUUCAAGUUAUCUAUAGCAGGCAUCAUUAAGGUAAAGAUUUCUAGCAGUCAAUAGCCAGCCACAUACUUGCUCCACACCCAAGAAUAAUUUAGUAAUAAGUAACGAGCGAACAAUUCCAAAUGCUUAGAGGUCAAUGCUUUUUAACACUGCAUUACCACAAAAAGAAUAUAUAAAAUAAAAUAAAACAGAACAGAACAAAGCGCAUGUGAUGUUAAUUAUAUAGGUAAUUAUUUGACUGACAACACAUAGGGGGGAGAAUCAAGCACCGAAGAAGCUAUCAUAUACUUUUGCAGUUGGCUACCCAGCUAAACAAGAUUGCUUUAUAACUAAACUGGGAUAAUACAAGCAUGUCUUACAUAAAAAAAAAGAAGAAGAAAAGAAAAGCGUAUGUUUUAAGCCAACAUAUGUAAGCAAUAAAUUUGACCCCUUGUUUCUUACUCACUGAUAGAAAUUCUUGUCUAGGACAACUAGAAUAAGAAAUAUUUGCUGACAAAAUUAUAGAGAAGGCCUACAAAAUUAAAGAUGCAGUCUUGGUCAAUAUUGCACAUAACUUCUCGCCCUUUGGCUCCAGAAUGUAGCACGCCAAUUUCUGAUACAUGUCAUCUAUCAUUUUGCAGCAAAGGCAAGGCAGACAUGUAAUACAAAAUGAUUUUUUUGGAACAAUAAGGCACCCAAUGUUGUCCACAAUAACAGCAUUACAGACUCUCCACAUACAACAUUGCCCUACUUUCAAUACCUGAACGCGUGAAAUUAACGCAAUCCUAUUACUGACAGCAUCUACAGUAUAUACAAAUUAUAUUACUGUAUUUUGACCUUCACCGGAAUUCCAGAGCAACCCAUAGGGUCAAAAAAUUUAGUACAUCAUGACAAAAUAUCCAAGAACUAUCAUCCUCAUGAUGUAGUUAACUAUAUACAGACUGUUCAGAUCCAGAUUGACCACUCAAACAGCAUAGAGCCUUACGACCUGAUCUACAUUGGCACGGCAAACAGGGCAUCCCCAAUUCUUCGCUUUGAUCUCCUUCAAGCAAGGCAUACAUCCAACCAUGUGACCACAUGGAAUGCAAGCCCCCUCCACUGGGGCAUCCAAACAGAUGACACAAAACCCAGAAGUAUUGCGACUGCCUUCUUCAACUUCAUCGUUCCCAGGUUUGGAAAAUCCUGGAGUACCAGCAGUAUCUUCUUUCACUUCAGUAGUCACAGGUUUUGUCUCUACAGCUGGCAUGCUUAUAUCAACAGGACUGGAAUCUAUCGAUGGAUAGUGAAUUGGUCCAUCAUAAAAUGUCUCAUCGGCAACUGGUGGAGCAGAAGGAACCAAAACUGUGGGAUGUGCCUCCCAAGAUGGAACAAUGAAUGCUGUAUCAGAUUGACUCAUAGUAGGCUGUGAUGCCCUAUUAUUUGGCCCAACUUCAGGAGCAGCACAUCCAUGGCAUCCACUGGGAUUUGACUCAUUCAGACAUGCUUGGGCAUUUAAUUUUGAUGGUGGAGCAACAUCUGGUGGCCGCCAUCCAUUGUUGGUAGAAUGACCAGACGAGCAGCCCCAGCCGCUGGUGUUGCUGGUGUGGGUGACUGGUUGGACAUCAGGCACUCCCUCUGCUAUAGCUGACUGAAUGGAGGCGUUAAUGGCCAUGGCUAUUUCCAUGUCUUCCUGGUUGGAUGUAUGUGUGCCUGUUGAUGUUGCUGAUGCAUAUGAGUUGAUUUGUGAUGGGGGAGGCAUGGGUCCACCUGCUGGUGUUUCCGGAAUGUUAUUAAUCACCUGCAAGAGGGAGAAAUUUUGCUGAACACCAAACAAAGUUGUGGAUAGCAAUGCUAGUAAAAGAUAACAGAAUAAGAAUAAACCUCUUUAAGACCUCAUCACGGAAGCAAUAGUUCAGCACUAAGUAAAGAAGCUUCUAAAACAACCAUUACCAACCCGAUUUACACCAUAUUUUCUGGAUCUAAGAAUGAAAUUCCAAGAUUAAAUUCUUUGUCCCCAUUUGUUCUCUCCAUUCUUGCAAGAUUAAUUGGAAAAAAGUUCCUUGGAUGAUGGAUUUACACUAUAUGCCAAAAUUUAACUAGAGAUACAGCAUACAGUAAUAUUAAUUCUUGGUUUCUACAUGAAUAAUCUCCUGAAAUUCCUUUGAGAUUCUUACCCUAACAUUCACUUGCAUGCUCUGCAGUACGCAAUCAUGAAAUGUACUCAUUAAUUACCUGGGGAAUUCCUCGGCAUGCAUUAUAGAACCACCAUAGUUGUUGCUUGUCACCUUCAUUUGCCGAUAAAAACUUGUACUUUAUUCCUGUCAAGAUACAGCAAAUUAAGGUUGAGCACCAACUUUAGAAAUGAAAGGUCGCCAUCUCUGACCCCUUUUGAUGCCUAGGCAUCCAGGCAAGUGCCUGGAGUUAAAAAAUCAUUAAAAAAAUAAAAGUAAUACCACAGCCCUGUAUAAUCAAAUUAUCUCAAUGUAACUGGGUCAUAUAAAACACAUGAAAAAAACUUUCAUAUUCAUAAAUGAUAGGUUGUUUACUACUUAAGCUAUUCAUAAUAUGAUCUAGCAUGGAUUGAUAUCUUUGAGAACAUGUUACAAACACCCAAAUAGCUAACAAAGGACGGAUUGAUGGAGGGCUGCCAUGGGAUGUAUAAGAAACGCCAAAUAUAGAUGACCAUGAUCUAGAAAAGUAGCUUUUAAAGUACUAGUAUAUACACACCAAGGCUUAUUAAAAAUAACUCAACUAAUUAGAUAACAAUUAAAAUUUAUAUUAUAUAUGAUGAAGGAUAGCCGGAAUAAACAGUGAUUAGUAUUAUGUCAUAAAUAAGUACCCCUUGUAAAGAAACAGCCUGUAGGCGGUGAAGUGCCUGUCUAGAAUGCCAACCCAGGCACCCAGACUGCCACCUCACCUAGCAGUCUAGAAAGCACCAGGCAUCUAGGCAAUGGGGUUGCCCAAGUGACCAGGCUGCGGCGUAUGACAACCUUGGUACAACAUUAAGGAAAUUUUGAGGAAAAAAAAAACAAGCUUUAAUGCAAAAACAUACUUGUGGCGUUGUCAAUAAUAACCACAGCUGGAUCUGGCUGGUUGAACUUUGGUUCCUCGAUAUAAGCUUUCCAAAGUGAAAUAAUAAUGCGGGGCUUUGCAACCUGUUUGUCAAUAAAAACUAUUUAGCAAAUUAAACAUUGAAAAUUUAAGUCACUGCAUAUUCUGUCCUAGAUGUAGAAAAAAAUAUAGCAUGAACAAACAAAAGAAAAUAGUCACUUGUGGAAAAGGAGCUGCACAUGUUGAACCCAUGCAAAGAAAACUACAAGUCAAAAUUUUUGGGAGCUAUAAUUGGACCGGUAAAAAGCAAAAUUGAGUCAUAUAUCAAUUUAUGAACAGUUGUUCUGGGGGCAUCCACUCAGUCUGUUCCUAGUCACCCUAUGUCAGCAUCUUGUCAUGAUUGAACCACAAACGGUGAGUAAUACUAAAGAAUUACACAUUUUGUUGGGAAAAAAAAUGCAGAGUAACCCACAAGCAUACUGAGAGACCACUGUAGAAAAGGUUUUGAGAAAAUCUUGAACUCAGACAAUUAGCCAACGCUAAUCAACCAAAGAUGAUAGGGCCAAUCUCGUUAUACAUAUUUUAGUCAGCAAUCAGCAUACAAACAACACUUAAGAUUUGGAAAGACAAUUUUGUUACAUAGUUAGUGCUCAGACACUCUGCCUUAUGGCAUAGUUAGUGCUUAGACAUUCUGACUUAUGGCAGCCCUGUUCUCCAACAGAUUGCAAAGCAGUGGCAAAUAAUAUACACUAUGUAUUGCUUUAAAGGAAAAGCUAAUAUUAGCACCAUCUGAUGGCCUAUUUUCAAGAUUCCUUCUGGGAAUACCUAAAGCUUUACCUGAUGAUAGUAAGUAGAAUGAACUCUUAAUUCUCUUCUGUCAUUUUCUACAACCCUCAGUAGCUGUGGUCUUUUGUCUAAGGUUCUGCACGUGCUUCGAAAUCUCCCUGGUACCUUGUUAUUGCAGUUGCUCCCUAGGCGCUUUCUUACUCGAACUCUUUUUGGGAGCCCUGCUUCUCUCCGGUCCCGCAGCUGAAUUCGCUCCUGCACAUGCACCAAAUUUAGGUAACUAAGCUACAAUAGGUGAAAGAGUGUCAAUUUAGGUCCCAAACUGUCAGAAAAUUGGCUGCUAGUGGUGCCAUAAAGUUCAAAAAGAGGGAACUAGCUAGUGAAUAUUUGGUGAUAAGCCCCAAACAACAUGAGAACAUGGAGAUCCAAACCCAUGGUUUCCUCAAAUAUUCUUUCUUCCCAGAUGCAUAAAAAUCAACAGACUGCCUCACAUAGUUAAGCAGACUUAAAUAUCAUGAAUCUAAAUUUUAUGCUGACAGUAAUAAUGAUGGCUAAAGCAAAAUCUUCUUGCAUUGCAUAAACGCUGAGAGGAACUGUUGCUUGCAGACUGAUAAAGACGAAUAUAUCAGAGGAACGCCUUCCAUUACAAAGUUGAAAAUUUUCAUUUUGGCCACACACUGGAUGACAAAUGAAGGUCUCAAGAUGCAUUUGCAUGCCAAUCAGCAGUUGUAUUUCAAGCCCCAUUCAGCAAAUAUUUUUAAGUACAUCAUCAGUAGAAGCCUUUUCCUUUGUUAAAGUAAAAUCUCGGAAAAUAGGGCAAGUGGUUGACGCCGAAGAAAAGCUUACCCAAGCUUGCAUGCCCAAACAGACACUCUUGGGCUUGCCAUCCUCUAAAAGAGACCAUUCGGCUUAUAUGAGGACAUGUAGUUAAGCAAUUCAUUGAAGACUGAUGCACUGGUUAAACCACCACAAAGGCAUAGUAUGUUUAAAAUAAAGGUGCAAAACAGACAUAUUUAAAGAAGAGAAAUUGAUUAUUAUGCAUGCAAUCAUCUUAGUAUUUCUGCAGCUUGCAUCAAUGAAAAUUCUCAUUAAUACUUGAUGUUAUUGCGACUUCAGAAAUGGUGCUGACUACUCAAAAGAGAUUCUUCUGCAACAUCAAGGGAUACUGCCAUUGACAAUAAUGCAAAGUAUAUUGCCCACCUAGCUCACAUUACAGGUGAUUAUCUAAAACACAUGGCAACUGAUUUGAUUGGCCAUUCGAAAAGUAGGAAAAUUUUCAAGACAUAAUUACUCAGCUAAUUAAGAUUAGUCUGGUAGAUAAUUCAAAAGCUAAAUCACCAUGCCAACCCCAACCCUGCAGGCAUGCGCCAAACACACACACACACAACAAAAAAAGAAAAAAAAAAGAACUUUAGGAAGUGCUCAAUAGACCACACACCGACAGAAAUCCACAUUGAACAGAGACAUGAUGCAUUGGAAGUUGAAAAGGCCUAACCAUUGUAUGGGAACUUCUAGCAUGCCUGUCUGAAGCAGGCUAACAAACAACUCCAACCAUGAUGAUGGAGCUACAGCAGCAUGGCAAUAUAAAAAUAAAUCUCUUUCCCUUCUAUUUAAAUGGAAAAUGCAUUUUUUGGCUGGAAUCUCCUCUGCAGCAGGACUCUAGAUUUGUCGCUGAACAUUUUUUGGUUGAGAGAGCAUGCUCAUGCCUUUAUUAGAUUCCUAAUGCCAUGAGAAGAGAAAGGAAAAGGAGAGAGGGAAAAACCUUCAUAAUUUAAAGACCUGAUACUUCCAUUCCUGUAAAACAAAACAUUGGAACCCUAGUGCUUCUCUUGGUUUGAAACAAAGUGGGGCCCUCAUGUCUACAAGAUCAGAGCAAUAGUCCUUUGACUCGUUUCUUACUGUUUUAUAUCAUAGCCAUGCCUGUUAAUGCCCUUCAUGUGCAUCGCAGGGAGCACUAGUAAAUAAUGUAAAGCGAAAAAAGGGGAGAAGCAACCUGGUUCGCAAGACCUUCAUAGCAGCAUGCUGAAAUGCCUAUUGAAAACUUAAUCAGGAAAGAUAUUUAUCUAGUUUAUUAUCCAGGCUCCUAUUAUUUUCAGUCUUGAUAUAUGACAAGCUUCUGCCAAUGGGACCUAUAAAUAGAAUCCUAAAACUUUGGAUAUAUUUUUAUUUGUAGGUUUGAAAUGCUUGCAUCUGCAAAGGUUAAUUUACCUGUAAGGGUAAAUUUGAUGUACGUGAAGCAUAUGUUGAUCUCUGCUUCCAGAUUCAGUAUAGAAGAUCGGCGUUUAAUUAAGCAAAAAAAUAGAAUGGCAACCCAGUUACCUUCAAGAUGUUGAUAUUAAGAACAAAGCGAAUAUUCAAAUGAAAUUCCAACAAUGGGAUCUCCAUAAGAGAUGCGUUUGCACCUUUCCUUUGUCAGCAAAUCCAACAAACUAUUUGCAUUUCAAGCACACUGCAGAAACUUUUCCCCUAUUCAAGAGGCAAUAUCCUAGAUCUCCUUCUGCACUGCAAUUCCUAUCCACAUUUUCAUUUCCUCAUAAUGUUUGAUUCCCCUUCACCCAUUAGUCUGCACCAUGUAAUUAAGUAGCCUUAUGACAUCCUUCCACAUAGAAUAUCCAGCUUAUAGCAAACUUGAUUGUGCUUUCAUAUUCCUGUAUCAGAUUCCGCAUUCCUUUCUAAUCCUUUUUCAUUUUAACAUCACACGGACUCUCUCCCUCUCUCUCUCUCUCUCUCACACACACACACACAACUCCAAUGUUUCGACAAUUCCAAGUUGUCAGAUAAAGUCCUAAGUACUGAUUAACAUGGUCAUCUUAAUUAUUGACCAGGAACAAAUGACAUCUUGAAUAAUACUUCAGUAAGUCAUCAUGACCAACUUUCAGCUUCUAUGAUAUGAUGAUUAAAUGAUUUGAAAAAUACUCAAAAAAGGAGAUGGAACAAGAUGAUGUUUUCCUACCCUUGAAGACACAAAGCAAGAAGCAUAAGCAGAGGAUCCAUACCUACGCUUCAUAUAAAAAUUUGUGUUAAGAAGGCAGCAUAACUUAGAGACUUUGCACACUCCAAAUGUGCAAACCACCUAAAGCAAUUUAAUGAUAGAAUUUUCUGCAUCAUCUAAAUUUUGAGACUAAUUUUGCACAAACACCAAGGAAACCAAAAGAAUGAUCACUUCUUCUCUAACAAAGAUUAUCCUAUACUGCUUUUCUUUUGCAAAUAUACUUGUUAGUUGUAAUU
rnacentral:lncRNA from 1 species